CUUGAAACCCUUAGCAAAGAAGCAUCGAGUAGAACGGAGGAGCGCAUAAGUCAAAAUAGAUUCAAAAGCUACUGAAUUGAAUAGAGUUUACUCUUUCCUCUUGUUAUUUAUUUAUUUUAAUUAUGUUUGCUAUGAGUUUAUUAUUUUUGACAUCAUCAAUGAUAUUUUAAAUCCUAUUUUCUAGGAUGAUUAUGGUAAUUCAAGAAUAUUUAUUUUAUUGAUGUUUAAUAUGAUUGUGCCUCAAUCGAUCAUGUUUUCAAUUAAUAUCAUGAUGCAUUUCAUUCAUACGUGAUUAGGUGCAUUCAGAUUAGUUGAACGAUCCUAACCAGACGAGACGACGGCUAGUAGACACAUAAUUGAAUAGUGCAAUGCUCAAUUUAGAUAAUUAAACCCAACUAAGUUGAGGUUCAUAAUAUCUUUAGUUAGCUCUAUUAUCUUGCAUAGUUUUUAAGUUUAUGUGAUUAAACUAUUGCAAACGUAAUCUCUAUAACCUCGCAUAAAUAUUAAGAAACCCUUAGUUUAAUAUGAUCAGUAAAAUGCAUAUUUCACUAAGUUAAUUUGGUUUCCAAACUCAUGAAAGAUCAAGUUGCCAUGGAAGUAUUUCCGAACAUCGUUAAGCAUGAUAAAGUAAAUUGAAUUGAUUAAUAUAAUUAUCCUAGCCUAUUUUAUGUUGUUUAUUUUUGUUCCUAAAGCCAUUCAUUCAUACAUUUAGAUCAAUUAUAUUUAGAUAAAAUUUCAUAGGGACCAUCUUGCAUUUGGCUAAGUUAAUUUAACCAUCACAUCAUACUUUGUUAGUUUCAUUUUCUCUAUUUUUUCACUUAGCAUAUAAGUUCCUAGAACUACAUACUUACAUGCAAGAGUCAGCCUAGGGACUCACCUGAUAACCUCAAAAAGCAGCUUACCCUUCAGAUCCAUCAUUCAACAAGAUGCUACAAUCUCCUUGCCUUAUAGAACAGAAACACUUCGUUAGAACCCAUCCGGGUAACCAUUAUCAUUAUUUUAAACCCAGGCAUCUUUCAAAACCAUAGUUCUUCAAUCAUACUUAUAGAUUUAUGUUUCCUUGAGAGACAGACUCAUGAAACGUACUUUGUAGUGAAAAAAUAACUAGAAAUAUCUAGGAUUUUGAACUCAGUUCAGAGAAAUGUUUCUAUCUCUCUUUAGCCCUAAACUAUUUUUAUUUUUUAGAGGAAAAAGGGAAAAAAAGAUAAGCUUUUCUUAUCCCAACCGAAGUGUCCUUUUAACUUAACCUAAGUCUCUAUAGGAACUUGAUAAACAUCAUAUCAAGAUUGAGUGGCCAUUAUUAAAAUCUGCGACCUCUAAGAACUUGCACGAUUACUCCUCUAGCCUUUAACCCUUCCAGUUCACGUUCUAUCAAUUCCUAACCAGUUUUCCUCACAAUUUAGCUGGCACAUGACCAUAUUGGCUACGGGGUGUACGAUGCCACUGACGUGAACUCACAUUAUAAAGGUUAUUUUACAUGACUAUAAGGCUCAUUUCACCACUCAUAGUAAUCGAACAUGAAAUCCUUGCUUACUUUAUUUCAUAUUGGAGUCUUUCCAUUUUGAAUGCCAAGAAGUGGAUUUGGGCGAAUACUAUUUCGCCAAUUUUACCCUUCUAUGACUAUGUGCCAUAUCCAUAUAUUUGUACUUUCAUAUUGUUAUUCCUUGAUUGGUUAUACCUUAUCAUUUUCAUGAUUUCCUUAGUUAUUUCUAUUAUAGAGGGCCUCAAAGACAGAAUACUCUUGGUUCGCCAUAAAACUUCUUACGGAGAUUUUCUUUCAGAAUCCACCAAGCUAAGGCGUACAAGAAUUUUCGAGGAGUGUCUUAUGCUUAGCCAAAUCCUUAUUCUUACUCACUCAAAUCUUGCUCUUUGUGCCUUGCUUCCAAUAACAUUGUUCUGUCAUUAGGAUUUCACCGGGUAGGUUGUUACAGGCUCAUUGGACAUUGCGCGAGUACGCCCUAACUAUACUAGACACGGUGCGAAGAAGUAUUGAGUGGUCGGUGAUUAAUGCAAAUAAUUUUGAAAUAAAGAAGACCAUUAUCCAAAUGAUCCAAAAGAUAUUACAGUUCAAAGGGAGCAUGGUGGAUGACUCGAGUCAACACUUGAAGACGUUCUUACAAUUAUAUGACACCUUCAAGUAUAACAGGGUAUCCAAUGAGGCUAUGCAUCUCCAGUUAUUCCCAUUUUCAUUAUGUGAGAAUGUGACCGAUUGGUAAGACUCGUUAGAACUAGGUUCCAUCACCAUAUGGAAAGAUCUAGCAGAACAUUUUCUCUAUAAAUUUUUCCCAAUUAUAUUCAAACAAUACGAAGGUAAGUCCCUGUACGAGGUGUGGGAGCAUUUCAAGACAAUGCUAAAGAAGUGUCGACACCAUUGAAUGCAAGUCGUGAGAGACAAACUUAUUGUAUGUGGUCAAAGAUUCGACCGAAUGGAGGGGGAGAUGCAAAAAAUGAAGACGGAUAUUCGACAAGUCCAAUAUACAUGUGUAUUACUAACAUCCAGAAUGGAUAGUCUUUGUGACCAAAUGAGCCAGCUAAUGAAAAUGUUUCAAAAGAAAAAUGGCUUGAGCUUUCCUAGUAAGACAGAGAACAACCCUUGGAAAGAUGGGAAAGAGCAAGUAAAAGCGAUCACGAUGUGAUCGUAUAAGAAAUUGAAGUCGCAAUAUUUGGAAUGGCCCUGCUUAAGGCACUAGGAGCUGAUGGUUUCUAUGUGAAGUUUUAUCAAUCUCAGUGGGAUAUUGUUGGUCCUUCGGUUUGUUCUAUGGUGCGUCUUGUGUUAGGGGAUUGUCUAGUGGAUCCUAGGAUUAACAAAACUCUCGUUGUUCUAAUCCCUAAGGUCGAAAAGCAUCACUCAAUUCUGUCCGAUUAGUCUUUGCAUGAUUUUAUAUACUAUUUCCACUAAGACAAUUGUUAAUAGGUUGUGACCGCUAAUGUCGAGGCUUACUAAACAAAACCAUACUAGUUUUGUGAUGGGUAGAAGCAUUUCAAACAAUAUUGUUAUUGUUCAGGAGGUUGUGCAUUUUUUGAGGAAUUUUAAGGGCAGAAAAUCUGGGAUGAUUUUAAAAAUUGAUCUUGGGAAUGCAUAUGACAUAAUCUAUUGGGAUUUCUUAAGGGAUACACUUUUAGAUGUGAAAUUUCAUCCAUGUUGGUCACGGUAAUUAUGAAUUAUGUGUCGUCAACUACUUUCCAGGUUCUCUAUAAUGGUGUUGUCACGAAUGAAUUUAGGCCUACUCGGGGGUUACAAUAAGGAGACCUCUUAUCUCCUUAUUUAUUUGUGUUAUGUAUGGAGAGGUUGGGGCAUUUAAUUAAUGAAGUAGAUGAUAAAGGGAGGUGGAAGCCUUUGGUACUGUCCAAGAGAGGUCUUGCUUUAUCACAUUUAUUUUUUUAUUGAUGAUCUUAUGCUCUUUUGUGAGGUGGGUCUGAAGCCAGUAGAGAUUGUCAAUGAUAUUCUGAAUACUUUUUGUCACUUCUUAGGUAAAAAAAUGAAUAAGAAUAAUUCUCAAGUAUUUUUCUCGCCUAAUGUUCCAAAGGCUUUAACUUUUGAUAUUUGCAGGAAGGUGGGACAUGGAUAAGUGGAUGAUCUUGUAAUGUACCUUGGACUUCCGAUUAUUCAUAAGAGAGUCGGAGUUAGCACAUUUGAGUUUGUGGUUAAUAAAGUUUGUAGUAGACUCAAUGGGUAAGAGGCGAAGAAGCUACCAUUGGCAGGCAGAAUUACAUUAGCAAAGUUAGUGCUUUUAUCUAUUCCCAAUUACUUUAUGACUGCAGUUUGUAUACCUAUCGCUGUGUGUGGUGAAAUUGAAAAGUUGGCCUGUAAAUUUAUCUAGGGUUCCACUACUUAUAUUAGGAAUUCAACUCUUUUGAAAUGAGAUGAUUAUUAUCAUCCAAUAGAGGUUGUGGGUUUAGGAGUAAGAAGUUUAGUUGAUCAUAAAAAGUUAUCCCUGUUGAAAUUGGCUUCCAAUUUCUAACCAAGAUUGAUGAUUUAUGGGUUAAGAUUAUGAGGAGUAAGUAUAAAAUUUAUGGGGUGUAGCUAAACUCUAUUGCAAGGAAUAGUUGUUAUUAUAUAUGGAAGUCUUUAAUGAGGGCUUGGAAUGAUGUUUUAGAUAAUUGUCUAUUGGACUAUAAGGGAUGGGUCUUUAACAAACUUUUGGAACAAUAAUUGGAUUCGUCAGGUGGGUCCUUUAAGGAAUUUUUAUAUGGGCUCUAAGCAACCAGAUGAUGCUUUCCAUGUUUGUGAUUUGGUCGAUGAGAGUGGUAAUUGGGAUUGGAGCCGUCUUAGAUGUAACACCCCUAACCCGUAUCCACCGUCGAAAUAGGGCUAUGGAGCAUUACCUUAAAAUCGUAGCUUAAAAAUUCAUUUCGAAACAUUAGAUAAACCAUAGUAUAAUUCAGUCAAACACAGGCGUAUCGUCCCUUAUUCGAGCCCUCAAGGCCUUAGAAACACUUUAGAAAUGAUUCGGGACUAAAUCGAGAGCAUAUGAAACCUUAAGGAAAAAUUCAGAAAAAUUCACACUGCAAAGGUCACAUGGCCAUUUGUCCAGGCCAUGUAACCUUUGAAAUGCAACCAUUAAUACCUAUAGGGGACACACGACUGAGACACAGGCCCGUGUCUUAGGCCGUGUGGACUAGAAAUAGGCUAAAUUCGAGCCAUUUCUUUCACCCAAUUCAAGCACACCCUUACGAGCUAUUUGCACAUAUGACCAAUGUAUCAAAACAUAUCAAACAUACAUUAUAUGAACAAUUCAAAUAACCAAAUUUCAUUCAACCAAUAUGCAAUAUAUGGCACCUCAAAAGCAAGCAUUCAGCUUAACUACACAUUUGCAUAACUGGUCACCUUGCUACCAUUUUAAAACAUACCGUACUUAACUUAUACCAUGCAAAUAUAACUUACCAUUUGAACUAUUGUUCUCAUGCAUCUCAAACACACAUAUACCUAAACUUAUACAAAUUUGACCAUAACUUAUCCAUAUAUAUUUAGCUUAAUUCUAUACCAAGUUAUACCAUAAUAGACCACAUUGAACUACACCAACAUAUACCUAAUUGGCCAGUUUUAAUACAAACACACUUAACUAAAUUCCAUAUUCAAGCAUACCUUAAUUAACCAUAUUGCAAACAUACCAAACUUACCUCUUUGGUCAUAAAACCAUAUAUCAACUUAACCAUAUUAACAACAACCAUCAAGAUACCAUCGGUAUAUUAACCGUAAUGACACUUAUACAUACCAAAAUAAUAACUAGAUCAUUUAUACACAAAUCCACCUAUACAUGCCAUUAUAACCUUGAUAAAGACAUCAGAAUCUACCAAUAUAAUCACUGGAUAGUGUGAUAGAUCUUCGACGAGUUUCCAAACCGGUCGAGCUACUGAUAAUCUGCAAAGUAAGAGGAAGAUGACUACGUAAGCAAUGGAUGCUUAGUAAGUUCGUAUAAGCUUGAAAUAUAACUUAUCACUUCAAUACUAUCAUACAUAGAUUAAACAUGAUUGAACACCAAUACUUUAAACUUAGUAUAAACCUAUUGGACACCAUUCAACUCACAAUUGAGUAUAUUUAUAAACAUUACAUACACCUUUCAAUCAUAACAUAAUAAGGUCUCAUAGGUCGAGUUACAUAAUUAUCAACCUUUCGUUAAAAUGAUUAACCAUUUCAUCUACUUACUUACCAUUCCAUUUACUUAGCAUAAAAUUAAUUACAUUAUUAACUCACGAACUAGUGUAUUUAUUCAUGACAUAAGUAAACUCACAUAUAACAUAAGUAAAUUUCUUCCUUACAAGUAAGUCCUUUAACUCAACAAUCAUUUCUUUUCAUCACAUUACAUUUCAACUAUGAACUUAUCAUUUCAUUACCUAUUCUCACCCAUUUCAUUUGCAUAACAUACAAGGCAUAAACAUAACAUUAACCAUAGCCACAAGCUAGUGCAUUUAAGCAUAACAUUUUUAGAAUAACAACACAAUAACCAUGUCAUGAGAAAUUACAUACUUUGAUUCUUACCACUCUUUCAUGCACAUAAGCCUCUUUCCAUUUGGUCAUUUACCAUUUCAAUACAUUUCUUUAAAACCAAAAUAAUACAAUCCAACCAAUAGAUUGACACAAACCUAAGCAUCAUCAACAACACAUGUUAAUGCAUUAAUUUAUAAUUCACUUGAAUAACAUAAGAUAAGUCAUUAAACAUGAAUAACCUCACUUAAAAUCAUCAAUUCCAUGAACAUAGCCAUACUUUCAUUUAACAUUUCCUUUUCAUUCUUUUUCAUAGUUUUCAUAAUAUAAGUCAUUUGAAUACUUACCGUUCAUUCCCUUUUCAAUCCCGUUGAAUCAAAUGAAAUAACAUCGAAUAUUAGACAAACACUCAAGUAACCAUUUAAUUCUUUAAACAGACUACAACAUCACGAUUUAAUGUAUUUAUAGACAUAAUAAGAAUAUAUAAUUACACCAAGGCAUUAACAUACAUGAGUAUACUAUACUAGUCAAACAUUCAACUUGUAGUCAUACUUACAAUACAUUCCUCACUCGAAACGUGUUACCUGAAUAUCAAAUGAUCGAAGUGUGCCAUGGUGUCUUUUAAUCAUGGUCUUAUUUAUUCUCUUCUUGAUGGCAUAGUGUUUUUAACCAUGGUCUUAUUCAUUUUCUAUCGUGUUGUAAUAGUGUCUUUCAACCAUGGUCUUUUUCAUUUGAUUCGUGAUGCCAUAACAUCUUUCAGUUAUGGUUUUACUCGAUAGAAUCGUGAUGCCAUAACGUCUUUUAGUCAUGGUCUUACUCGAUAGAAUCGUAAUGCCAUAACAUCUUUCAGUCAUGAUCUUACUCGAUAGAAUCGUGAUGCCAUAACGUCUUUCGGUAUGGUGCCAUAGUGUCUUUCAACUAUGGUCUUAUUUAUUCUCUAGUAUAGUUCCAUAGUGCAUUUCAAUUAUGGUCUUAACCAUUUUCCUUCAUGCCAAUCAACUCAAUUCAUAUAUAAACAAUUAGAUAUUAAACAAUCAAAACCACAGUUAAUUGAUUUAAUCAAGUUACGAGCUUACCUGGCUAAAUUGCAGAAAUGUCAAAGUACAUGGGCUUCUGGGUAAAUUUCCAUUCUCCUUGAUUUUCCACUCGAUCUUGAUUUAAAUUAAUAAUUUCAUUAAAUUUAUUAAUUUAGAUAGUAAAAGAAAAUUAUUUUAUGCAAUUUAGUUAUUUUUGACGUUUUUACAAAAUUUCCCCUAACAUUUUAAUUUUAUUCAAUUUAGUCCCUAUGUCCUAAUAAUGCAAAUAAAACAAAUUUAUUGAAAAUCAUGCCAGCGAAAUGUUCAUAGCUUCUAAUACAACCCAUAUUUGCAACAAUUUUACAUCAAGUCCUUGUAUUUUUACUAUUUCAACAAUUUCAUCUCUAAUCGUUAAAUUCAUCAAAAACCACUUAACAAAAUACUUAUAAAUAACAACUAAUACUUGAAAUUCAUCAUUUAGCAUCUAGAAUAACAAAGAUUCAUCAAUGGAAAUAUUCCAAAUCUUUAACAGUUUCAAAAUCGAAGGUAGGGGCUAGCUAGACCUAGUUGCAAUGAUCUCAAAAACAUAAAAUUUACUAGAAAUAAACUCAAAAAGCAUACCAUGCAUGCUCCAAAAGAAGACCGAAUGCUCAAACCCCCUUCCAUGGCUUCUUUCAUUCUCAAAUUCAGUAAAACAUCAAAGAGAAAGAUGAUUGCCUUAAUUGUUUUAUUUAAUUUUCACAUUAAUUAGUUAAUUACCAAGUUGCCAUUAAUUAUACAUUCUAUUUACACAUUAAACACCCAUAACCGUCCACUAUAUAUAAGCACAUGGUAUAUUUACGAAUUAGCUCCAUAAAUUUUUAUUUCCUUAACUAUUAAAUACCUAUUACUAAUAAAAACUUACUUUUGUAACUCUUACAAUUUGGUCGUUUUAAAUUAAUUAACUAUCUAAACAUUGAAAUUUCUUAAACAAACUUUAAUACAACAUUAAUAACACUCCUUAAAUAUUUAUAAAAAUAUUUACGACUCGGUUUAUAGAAACGAGGUCCCGAUGCCUCAUUUUCUAAAACCACUUGACUUUAUGGUCUUACCACUUGAACCUAAUUAAUCAUUCAUAUAACAUAAAUUACCAUAUUAAAAACCUUUUUAAAACCAUAUUUGACUCGUAAAUAUUAAAUAAUAAUAAUAUUUAUGAACUUACUCGUCAGAUUUGUGGCCUCGAAACUACUAAAAAAUAGGCUGUUACAUUAGAAGUUUCCUACUAGACCCAAUAGUUAUGCAAAUAGCUUUGGUGUUGUCGCCUUCACUGGAUGUGGGGAAUGAUCGGUUUUCAUGAAGAUGGGCAACUAGAAAUUCUUUUUCCACGGCAGAAACCUAUAGAGGUAUGCACCUAUAGAAGUAUGUAUCAUGUUGGUUCGACUAAUAGUUCUAAUGUUUGGAAAUUAGUUUGGAAAGCUAAGGCACUUCAAUGAGUUAGAGUGUUCAUUUGGUUACUGUGGAAGAGGAUAUUGUUAACCAAUAAGGAGAGAUUUAGGAGACAUAUGGUUUUGUAAGGGCCACUUUCUGAGAUGUAGCAAUACCUAUGAGUUUAAUAUACUUGUUGUUAGGGAUUGUUCCUUUUCACGGGUGGUUUGGAGCUCAAUUAUACCAUAUUAGGAACAUGUAUUUUUUUCCUCCUUACCACUUGAUUAAUGGAUUUUAUAGAACUUGCAAAACAUAGGGGAUUGUGGUAAUCAUCAGGUAGAUUGGCAAACUUUGUUUCCUAUAGCGUAUUGGUUAUUAUGGAAAAAUAGGAAUAUUUUUGUGUCUUUUGGUAGUCAUAGAUCUAUCCAGGAUAUGGUAAAUACAAGUAUUAGUUGGAUGAGAAGUUACUCUCCGACUAUUUUUCAUGUGGGCCCUAUGGUUACCGCUAUGAAAUGGUCAGCUCUAGCAAGUGGUUGGGUUUAACUCAAUACAGAUGGUGCAGUUUCACUUAAUUCUUACUCAGCUGCAAUUAGGGGAGUCAUUAGAGAUGCUGAUGGAAAUUGGUUAUGUGGUUAUUUGAUGGUAUUAGGGAAGGACGAAGUGUUCAGGAUUGAAGCGAGGUCAAUAUUAGAAGGGCUACGUUUAUUAUGGGAUAAAGGAUAUCACCAGGUUGAACUUGAAUGUGUAAAACCCUUUGGGUGGAAAUAAUUUUUGCUUGAAAAGCUAUUGAUAGUUAUUUUAUGGAACUACGAGCUAUUCAUAAGCUAAUACAAAGGAAUUGGAGGAUCUGUAUCCAUCACAUUCGUAAAGCUCAUAACGUAGUUGCAGAUUUCAUAGCCAAGUGUGCUACUACAGGUUUCACAGGUAUCCAGGUGUUUAUAGAACCCCACAUUCUGUAUGGGAACUAGUUCGGAAGGAUAUUAUGGAUUUUUAAUUUCCUGAUUAUUUUUGUAAUUGCUUAAUAUUUUUUAUUUACAAAAAAAAUAAAUGUUUAAUUAUUUAAGUGAGGUAUUAGUUAUCAUGGUAAAUUUUUUUGUAAUUAAAGAUUAAAAAAACUAGUUGUUUUAUCUCUUCUUUAUCUUUUGUCGCUAUCAAUAUGUCAUCAACAUAGAGGAGUAGAUACACAAAAGAACCAUCACUGUUUUUCUUAAAAUGAACACAACUAUCAAAGCUAUUUCUUUUGAAAUCAUGAGAAGUCAUAAAAGAAUCAAACCUCUUGUACCAUUACUUUGAUGAUUGUUUCAAAAUGUAAAGAGACUUUUUUAGCAAGCAAAUAUAGUCCUCUUUUUUUGAGACUGUAAAUCCCUCUAGUUGUUGCAUAUAAAUGUCCUCCUCAAGUUCUCCUGCAAGAACGAUGUUUUUACAUCUAACUGUUCGAGUUCCAAGUCAUACAUGACCACAAUACCAAGCAAGACUCGAAUUUAAAUAUGCUUCACAACUGGAAAAAACACAUCUAUGAAGUCCAACCUAGAAUCUGACUGUAACCCUUUACAACAAGCCUUACUUUAUAUCUGGGUUCUUCAACUUCUAGAGUCCCUUCUUUCCUCUUAAACACCAUUUACAAUGAACAACUUUCUUACCUUUAGGAAGCUUUACAAGAUCCCAUGUUUUGUUCUUAUGGUGUGACUCCAUCUCUUCUUGCAUGACAAACAUCUAUUUUUUUUGGGUCUUCACAGCUAACUGCCUCGGAAUAAGUAGAUGGCUCUUGAUUUCCAUCUAUAUCUUCAGCCAUAUUUAAAGCAUAAGCAACUAAAUCAACCUCGACAUACCUUUUUGGAGGUUUAAUUUCUCUUAUAGUUCUACUUUUGGCAAUAGAAUAUUGUGGUGAAUAAGUGACUCUGUUCUGAUUUUUUGUACUAACUUGAAGAGUCGACUCUGUUGUAGAUACUGGAUCAAUAUGAAGUUCCACCUGCUUUUGUUGUUCUUUAUUUGAAGAGUCUUUAAAAGAUAAGUUAGGUAAUAUAGUAGUUUCAUCAAAAACAACAUCUUUGCUAAUUACAACUUUUCUAUAUUCAGGACACCAUAACUUAUACCCUUUUACACCAACCUUAUAACCAAGAAAAACACAUUUAAUAGAUCUCGGUUCCAAUUUUUCAUUAUCAACAUGACCAUAUGCAGGACACCAAAAAAUCUUUAAGUCAGAAUAAUCAAAAAGCUUACUAGGCCAUAUCUCUUGUGGAGUCUUUUUCGCAAUGGCAAUGGAUGGAUAAAGGUUGAUCAAAAAACAUGCAGUAGAGGCUACUUCAACCCAAAACGACUUCGGUAAAUUAGCAUUCGACAACAUACAUUGAACCUUUUCCAUGAUUAUUCUGUUCAUUCCUUCUACAACGCCAUUUUACUAUAGAGUAUGACAAACUGUCAAGUGUCUCACGAUCCCUUCUAAUUUGAACAAUUCGUUAAACUCAUCAGAACAUAACUCCAAGCCAUUAUUUGUCCGGAGGUGUUUUAUCUAUUUUUCUGUCUAUUUUUCAAUCAUGGUUUUUCAAGACUUGAAUGUAGAAAACACAUCGCUUUUUUACUUCAGGAAGAAUGCCCAAACUUUUUUUGAAAAAAUCAUCAAUAUGAGUUAGCAUAUAAUUAUCUCCACCUCUCGAAGGCACUCUGGGUGGUCCCCAAAGAUUAGAAUGAAUAUAAUCCAACGUUCCCUUCGUGUUAUGGAUUCCUCUGGUGAAUCGAACUCUCUUUUGCUUCCCAAAAAUGCAGUGCUUAUAGAACUUCAGUUUGCUAAUGCCUUGCCCAGAAGUCCUAUUUUGCUUAAUUCUACCAUGCCAUUUUCACUCAUAUGCCCUAUACGCACAUACCAAAGUCUAGUAACAUCAUUAUCUUACAAGGAAGAGGAAGCAACUGCAGCAUCAGCAGUAAUAGUAGAACCCUACAAAACAUAUAACUUGACAGUUUUUCUCUACCCUUUCAUCACAACGAGGGAUCCUUUGGAAAUCUUCAGAACCCCACUUUUGGCUGUGUAUUUUUACCCUUUUGAAUCAAGAGUACUCAAUGAAAUCAAAUUUCUCUUCAAUUAUGGAAUAUGUCAUAUGUCACUGAGUGUUCUAACAAUUCCAUUAAACAUCUUAAAUUUAAUCGUUUCAACACCUGCGAUUUUACAUGAAGCAUUAUUUCCGAUUAAAACAAUACCUUCAGACAUUGUUUCAUAAGUUGUAAACCAAUCCCAGUUGGGACUCAUAUGGAAGCUGCAACCAAAAUCAAGGAUCUACUCCUCACUCACUUUAGAAUUGUUUGUAGAAGCAACUAGGAGUUCACCAUCGCUGUAGUCUUCUACAACAUCAACUUCACUAGAAUUUUCUAGUUGUUUUCCCUUUUGAUUCGUAACCUCCCUUUUGAUCUUGUUUUGUAACUUAUAAAAUUCAGAUUUAAUGUACCCUUUCUUGUUGCAGAAGUUACAUGUUUUACCUCUGUUUAAAGAUCUUGAUCUACCCCUAGAUUUACUACGAGGAUUUCGUUCCUGUGUCCUUCCAUGAUCAUCAUCAAUAUUCCGUUAUUGUCUCCCAUGAAUAAUAAGACCCUUUCCCUGAGAGUCAGAUUUAAUCACAAGAUGCUUCAUCUUGUCAUACGAGGUUAAAGAAUCAUAGACCUCAUCAACUAUGGGAGAUUCACGGCUAUGCAAAAUCGUGUCUCUAAAGGUUGAAUAGGACGGGGGCAACAGACAAAGUAGAAUAAACCCUAAAUCUUAUUUCAAAUUGAACCUCCACGGCCUCUAGGUUCUAGAUAAUUUCUUUAAACACAGUUAAGUGUUCGUACAUAGAUGCAACUUCUUUUAAACGAUAAGCAUAAAGAUGCUUCUUCAUAUGUAACUUACUCGUUAGGGUUUUUGACAUUCAUAGUUGUUCCAAUUUUGCCCAUAUUCUAGGGGAAGUCUUCUCCUUCACAUCCUGUAAAAUUUUGUUAGGCAAACGCAAAUGUAUUUAUGCCUAGGCCUUUCGAGCAUAAACGCUUCUUUGCUUCCCUCGUCAAUGUCAGAGGAAUCUUAUUUAUCCCCAGCAGGGCAUAUUCCAAAUUCAUCUGUGCAAGAAUUUCCUGCAUCUUUAUCUGCCACAACACGAAUCUAUUGUUGUGAUCCAACAGCGGAAUUUCAUACUUCAGUGAAGCCGUUAUCAUGAUUGAGAUAAGCAACCCAAAAAACUCUAAUACCAAUUUGUAAAAAUUGAAUGUCGAUAAUGACAAGAAAAGAGAGAAAAAAUAGAACACAUAUUUUACGUGAAAACCCUUUUAGGAAAAAAACCACGGGCAGAGGAGAAGAAAAUUCACUAUGUCGAAUUUGAAUUAUACAAGAGGAGAGACAACUACGCCUAUUGAUAGGUUUGAAAAUAGAAGUAAUGCAGUAAGGUUAAAACACCUUAUUCUAAUCAACAUCAAAUAGAGGAAGCAUAUUUUCAUACGGAUUUCACUUAGAUCCCCCUAUAUUGCCACUUGUAUUUUUAUUUAAAAAGAAUUUGGGUCACAUAUCUUUAACACUUGUAAAUACUUUAGAAACUUCUCCAAGUCAUUUGGACACUUUGUUCUUGUAUUUUAGCACUUGAAUAUAAUUUAAGAGUAAACAAUGUGAAUUUUGCAAAUUUGAUUAAAAGGAUAUUUAAGCUUAUUUUAUUAUAUCAAAACAUUUGAAAAUCAAUGCUGACAAACUUAAAAAUUUAUUUGAAGUUAUAUUUAUAAUACUAUUAUUUUAGUUUUUUUUUUGUUUUUCAACUAUUUGUACAUGUAAAUAAUUAAGUUUACAAUGUUGCAAUAUUAUAUGUUUAAUUUUUCUCUUAGUUUUUUAAUUGAUAUAAUAUGUGUAUCGUUGAAUGUAUUGUUGUUUUAAAAGUUUAUAUAUUUUUAAUUUUUUAAUUUUAAUUAAUAAUUUUCUAAUAUAAUAUUUUGGAGGUUAAUAGUACAAUAUGAGUGUUCAUUUUGUAGUCAUGGUUUAUUACAAGGGAUAAAUUUAUUACAUCAAAAUUGGCAUUUUAUUCGAAUUAAUACAAGGUUUAAGAAAAGUAUUAAGCUCGAUAUUUUAAAUUGAAGAUUAGCACAAAAAUCGCAACAGGUUGUGGAAGACCACAAUCUGUUAUGGAUUUCCCUCAUCAUCAAAUCCUAUAACUAGCUUGAGACUAUUCAUGGUGAAUAUCUUUGGAUAAUUAUAGCAGUUCAUUGUAGAACAAAAAAUAUGUGGCAAAAUUAUUUGUGGAGUUGGGUGAGGUUAAGUACGAGAAUUUGCCAGCUAAAAUUCUCAUAUAAUCUAAACUAUCUUUGAAUAUUUCCCUUCCAAGGUGUUAGCAGUACGAAAUUCAUGAACCCUACACAAAAAUGCCAUCAACAUAUCAGAAGAGAUGAUAUUGAAUUUUUAGGAUGAAUUUCAAUCUAAAUGUACCUUUGGAUGAUAUAUGUGAGUCUUCCUAGUCAUUAUUACCUGGCGACAUUCAAUAUCACCAAUGAGUAGGUCACAAAAUGUUGAUUUCUAAUAAUAUGUAUUAGUACAAUGCACAUGAUUUGUAUCUUGAUGAUAACAUGCAACCUUUAGCAUGUAGGUUAUCAAGACUUGAUUUGCAAGCAACUAGUGCAAGAUAUCUAGUACUAAACAUUACGUGUACCACCCCUCACCCGACCUAGCAUACAGUACAAGUAAGAGGUUCCACCGGAAUACUUUAAAGCUAGUGCAAUUCUUUUUUUAUAAAAACUCGUAUUAAAAAAUAUAUUAAAAACUCCUGGUAUCAAUUUGAAAGAAUAUUAAACUUAAAUAAAUCAUUUUUAUUUUUUGGUAACAUAUUUGAACAUAUUUAAGUCAUAAAGCAAGGUUCCAAAGUUUGCUGGCUUAAAACGAAGUCUUUUAGGUUUGGAAACUGGAUGCUUGAUUUAAAACUUUAAAACAUUUUUAUAAAAUUACUAAUCCUAUUUUAGGACAAAUAAAAUACUUUAUAUACAAUUUAAAAUAAUUUUAAAGUUGUUUAGGGGUGGUCGACGGUGUUUGGGACCAAUUUCGUGCCUUGGAAAACCCUUUUUGCACAAAGCAAUGUAGUGGCAAAAAUAGUACAAGGGUGAAAUACCUAGGCCCUUAGAUACCGAUACUGAGCCCUAGUAUUGAAAAUUUUGGCAAUCUACCAAUUGGGUGCGGUACCUCUGGGCCAAGUAUUGAUACCUCUUCUCCAAGGAUCAAAAAUUGUGAUGAAACACGUACCAAACAAUACCAAAUCAUUCCAACAUAAAUCAAAAUUUAAACUCUUAUGGGAACAAAAUCAUGGCAUAAACACAUUCAAAUUGGAAUGACAUAAUUUUUUUCUAAUCAAAAUUAAAAAAAGAAAAAUCUAAAACAUGCCAUUCACAUUAAAAUCUUUAUAUUCAAUAUGAGACUGAGUAUACAUGUCACUAAACUAUUAAAAAUUACACUUUAACAUUUGAAAAAAAACUGAAAGGAUAAUUUGGUGAUGCGAUGCUCCUUAGCUAUCAUAACAACUUUUUGGAAAGUCGUACCUAUGCGUUUUAAACAAGUAAUACGUGACUAUACAACUAUGUAAGUAACAAGGAUAAUCAAACUCCAUCCUACGUCUUUAUUAACCUUGAUCCCCUUCAGAAGAACCAUCAUUUUAAGUUCAUUUAAGCUAUAUUGUCACUAUUUUAACCUCUUCAUGUGAGUUCACAAAUUAAGCUUGAACUUAUUGUUUGAUGAUUUAUUAACAAUUCCUAUUAUGAAAGUGGUCCUAGUUUUUUUGUAUUUGAUUCGUUUAUGAAUAUUACCUUUUAAUUUCAGUUUUCAUCCUUAAGUACUUAUACAAUUUUUAACUCACCUUAAUAAUGCAUUAAGAGUUUCAUUAGACCAUAAUUUAUUUAGAUGUUUUAUUAUACCAUUUUCUUGAAGGCUUACUUUUCCAUUUUGUUUCUUUAUAAAAAAAUACCCUUUUAAAUGAAAAUUUGGUCUUCGUGAAAUGGUUUAUAAAACACUUAGAAGUAGUGUAAUAGCAUCUAUUCAAAGAUUAAAAAAAGAAACCAAUUUAGUUCUAUAAAUGUCAUAAGUAAACAAUUGAAUUGACAAUUUCAAGAAUUCAUUCAUACAAUGACAAAAUCGGUUUAAAUUGAAUCCUUAGUAAGCCUAGAAAAAUAAAAAAAGGAUUCUAAGGACGAGUUAUCCAAAACUACAAUAAUAGGAGCACCAAAGUGCAAGUGUUUGAAGACUAGAUUAAGAUCGCACCAAAGUGCUAGGAACAGGAGCAUUGAAGUGCAAGAGAUAGGAGUACCAAAGUAUAAAUCAGGAGUCCUCUAUUGGCAGAUCAAUUGUAUCCUAACUAUUUCUAAGCUACCAGAGUCUUGUUUCAAUAUUUUUAGAAUAUUAGUAAACUCAUGUAUCUAAUCAAAUUACAACCUAGUAUCAGUAUUCUUGGCGUAAACCACCACAAUUUAUAUCAAUAAUCUAAAUAAUGGCAUUAUGCCACUAUGAAAUUUCAAAGCCUUCAUUUCCAUGUCCAUAAGGAGACAUCUUACAAGAUUCUUUCUUAACUUUGUUUUCACAACAAUAAUUAGGAUUCUAACAUCGUUCAACAUAGUCAAACUUUACUUGUCCGAAACCACAUUUUUCAAUCAUACAAAUAUAAAUUUACAAUAUUGUACUCAAUAUAAUUUCAAUAGAUUCAAUUAAACAUAAAAUACGUAUUUACAAAAUAUUUCCAUAAUCUUUUGGUCGUUUUGGUAUUUUAGGCUUGUAUCGACAUCUGUCGACUUAAAGUAAGACUUUGCACUUUGACUUAUCUAAUAUUUUUCAAGAUGUUGACACGGUUCCUUCACAUAUACACAAAUCCUAUUAAGUUCAUAUUUUCUUCCAUAGAAACCUUAAUAAAAUUUUUACAUAAUUAAUUAUAAAUCCUCACUUGGUCACACACAACUUUUUUUUAUCACAUUUUAAUAACUUAUCUCUUCACAUUUUUCCAUAGAAUUCCAUACUCAUACUAAUACAAUUAAACACCUAAUUAUAACAUUCAUUUCAUGAUUCCUAAUCUUACUAACUUAGGGUAAGUAUGAGUAUCUAUGAUACUUACCUUGAUGGAUGCUUUACAACACUUAAUCAAACUCCCAUGAACACUAAUCCAUCAUCAAAUAAGCUUGGGCAUCCUCAAAUCACCGUUUCCACAUUUUCAUCUAACCAAAAUAUACUAAAAAAUUAACAUAAGCUAAUCAAAUAAGCUUUUUCAUAUCAUUUCUCAACAAUUAUCAAACUAAUGGAAGUGUAGGAAGCUAUUUCUUACCAUUGUUGAAGCUUUCUCAAUCUAGUUUUAUGUUCACUCAACAAAACUCCAUAAAUCUUAAGUUGAAAUUAGUGAAAUUGAUUAUGGUAAUGAAAGUCAUAAUUAAAAUGAUAAUAUCUAUGAUAUAUAUGUGUGUUUAUAUAUAUAUUCUUUUGCUAGAAAUUGAUAAACACAACAUUAAAAGUUAAAAUCGAUUUUGAUAGGUGUUUGAAAAAUUGAAAACCAGAUUACUAUAAAUCGAUUUUUUUCUCCAUUUGGAAAAAAGUAUACGAGUUUGGUAAUUAAUUAAAAUCAUGUCUUUGAUUCAGAUUUGUUUUUUAAUUUUUAUGUUAUUUUGAUAAAAAAUUCAAAGACUCAAAUUUUUUCUACCAUCAUUUUAUCACUCAAUAAGGAAAUGCAAAAUGUCUUGUCAUAAAAAUAAAUGGUUGUUUCUUUUAUACAAUAUUAGAAAUAGGGAUAAGGAUAACACCGUUCGAACCCGUGACAAAUGGGUAUCUGACAAGAAUUUUAACUACCGCUCCAUUAAAGUUAAAAUAAAAAAUUAUUAAUUAUUAAUGAUUAGAUUGCAAUUUUAAGCAUUUAAGAUAAAUAUAUCAAAAUUACAGAAAUUAAAAAAAUUAAUAUAAAAUUUUCCUAAAUUAAACUACUAGAGUUGAAGAGGCUACUUAAUAUAAAAUUAAUUGAUGAUAGGAUGAUAUAUGGAUUUUUUUAUCUAGUUUAUGUGAAAUUAUGGUUGAAGGUGCUUGAUAGAUAGAUGUUUAUUUUAAUUAGGGAUGACAAUAGAGCGGGGAGAAAUGUAUGUUGUUAAAUACAUCAUCGCUCCUUAGUAUGUUUUGUUUCAUUACCUGCCUUACUCCAUUAUGGAUAUAUAAUCUUGAAAACCAUUUCCACCUCAAUAAAUGUUGGAUGCAUUGGUUAAAAUCUUGCUCCACGUCAAUUUAUUCUUUUCUACUUGUCUUCAAUAUUCAAUCUUUUUAAAGGCAAUCAAAUAUUUAAGCAUAAUUCUUUAAAAAAUUAAACAUAAAAUAUAUUGAUUUUUCCAUAACACAUUAUUAUACUUUUACCCUUUUAAUAUUUAUGUAUAAAAUGAUAAUUUCAUAUAGUGGAUGUUAGUACAAAUCUCCGGUGAAGAAAAUCUCGAACACAUGAACGAAACUCGAACAGGAAAAGAAGAAAUAGGACAAGGCUCCAAGGCAUGUAUCAAGUCACUAUCUUUAAGGUUAUAUUCGCCCCACCUAUUUUCGGUGUGCAAAUGAGUUUCAAGCAAAUUAACCUCGAGGAUACAAUGAAGCCAAUGAUUAUUUGCGUUUUGCACUAACAAGAAUAGCCCACUAUACACUGAGCAAUGUAUGACAAGAAACUCAAUUUCUAUAAAGGAUUUCUGCAGUAAUACUUUAUAAAAUAAUAUAAUAAUAUUAGAAAAUGAAGGAAGAAAAGAAAGAAUAUUAGAAUUUGCAGGUGUGUUUUCCAAAUGAAAUCACAUUCCCAUUUAUAGGAAUUUUCAUGUCUCUUCAUAAAGACGUCUUUCAUCAAUAGGUGUCUUUCUGAAUAAUAAUGUCUUUAAAAUAAACAGAUAAUUAUUCAUUUAAUAUUAUAAAUAUUCAAAUAAUAGUAUUUAAAUAGUUAUAAUUAUUUUAAAAAAAUCAAAUAAUAUAACUUUUGAUUAAUUACACCCAUUCAUUUAUAGUUAUUGGAACACUAUAAAUAUUUGAAAAUGUUCCAACAAUCUCCCCUUAUUAUUUUUUAUUUUAAUAUUCUUGGAAAUCAAUUUGCAUAAAUGAAUGUAUCUUAAGAUUGAACCUUCACUUAGUGAAAAUAUGUUAAAGUUAAUCGAAAUUGCAUGGUAGACUAAGCUUUGAACCAACUAUUCCAUUGGAUUAACCGAACACAUCUCACACAAUGAUUUCAACAUCGAUCAAUGCAUAGUAUCUAGGGACACUAUUAUAACCAUGUGUCUAUGUCUUCUUUUCAUGAGUGCUGUCAGAGCCAAGCCCUUGAGCUCCUAGAAGCGGCCACACUUCCACUCACAUAGGUAGAUCCCAUCAAGAGUGUUCCCGUAAUUAUAACACUCUAACAUUUUUAUGUUAUGGGUCCAUUAAGAGUACAUUACUCAUCAUUCCCUUAUCAUUACGAGUACCUAACACAUUAAUCUUAGGAUGGAUUUAUUCAUAGUGCUAACAGUCACAUACUAAUGAUGUAAUUUGUCUCAUUGAACUCAAGACUUGACGUUAUACCAAGCGUUGAGUCGAGUUUCCAUCAUGGGUGACUGUAAUUAAUGGGCUUGAGUCUCAUCCCUUUUGAGGUCCUUUUUACUAAAUUUCUAGCAAGACUUUUUGUCAAAGGAUCCUCCAAAUUUUCACUUGAGCUCACAUAAUUAAUAGUGAUCGCUCCAUCAGAGAUUAAUUGUCGAACAUAACUAUGUCUUAAUCCCAUGUGUCUAGACUUUCCAUUAUAUACUUGACUAUAUGCCUUUGCUAGAGUGGCCUCACUAUCACAACAGAUAGAAAUAGGUGAAAUUGGCUUAGGCCAUAAAGGUACAUCAUAAAGCAAAUUUCUUAACCAUUCUGCUUCUUUAGAUGCAGCAGAUAAUGCAAUAAAUUCUGCUGCCAUGGUGGAAUCAGUAAUACAUGUUUGUUUCUUGGAACCCCAAGAAAUGACUCCUCCACCAAGAAUGAAGAUCCAUCCACUAGUAGAUGCAUGAUCUUCCAAACUUGUAAUCCAACUAGCAUCUGAAUACCCUUCUAAAACUAGAGGAUAUCCAUUAUAACACAAUCUAUAGUUCAUAGUUUUCUUUAAGUACCUAAGUACUCUAUUCAAAGCUUGCCAAUGCAAACUACUUGGAUUACUUGUGUACCUACUCAAUUUUCCAAUAGCAUAUGCAAUAUCUGGUCUUGUACAAGUCAUUAUGUACAUAAGACAACCAUUUAGACUUGCAUAUUUUAAUUGAUCAAUUUUCCUACCAGUAUUAGAUACUAAUUUUAUUUGAGGAUCCAUGGGUGUAGAUGCUGGUAUACAGUUGAAAAGAUCAAACUUUUUAAGCACAUUUUCAAUGUAAUGUGAUUGUGAUAAAGCUAUAGUGCUUUCAUCUCGGGUUAUUUUAAUCCCAAGAAUAACAUCUACUACACCCAUAUCCUUUAUAGCAAAGUUGCUUGACAAGAAUUUCUUUGUGUUUUCUAUUUGUUCCAAAUCCGUGCCAAAAUGAGCAUGUCAUCUACAUAUAGUGAAAUUAUGACACAUUUUCCAUUUCCAAAUUUACUAUGUAUGCACUUAUCGGAUUCGUUUAUUUUACAGCCAUUAGCUAAAACAACCUUGUCAAACUUUUAGUGCCUCUGUUUUGGUGCUUGUUUAAGUCCAUAUAAAGAUUUAACAAUCUUACAUACCUUAUGCUCUUGUCCUGGAAUAAGAAAUCCUUCCUGUUUCUCCAUGUACACUUCCUCUUACAAUUCACCAUUUAAAAAUGUAGUUUUAACAUCUAUUUGGUGAACAACCAAAUUAUAUAUAGAGGUAAGUGAUAUUAAGAGUCUAAUUGUAGUAAUUCUUGCUACUGGAGCAUAGGUAUCAAAGUAAUCAAUACUUUGUUUUUGUGUAAAACCUUUGGCUAUCAACCUUGCUUUAAAUUUAUCAAUGGUUCCAUCGACCUUCAUUUUCUCUUUGAAGAUCCAUUUACAACCUAUUAUUGGUUUGGAACCUGGUGGAAGAUCAACUAAGAUCCAAGUUUGAUUUCCCGUUAUUGAAUCAAUCUCAUCAUUUAUUGCUUCUUUCCAAAAAGUAGAGUCUUGAGAUUUCAUUGCCUCUUCAAAUGUAAUAGAACAUAUUCUGUAUUACAACAAAAAGGUAUCUUAUUGCAUAUACUUUCACAUUUUCCUUCUACAAGAAACAUUAUGAAAUCUAGUCCAAAAUCUUUGACCUUUUUAAUCCACUUACUUCUUCUUAAUUCUUGACAAGAUUCAUCAUUAUUAUCAAUUUGUUCCAAUAGACUCUCAUUUUCAUUUGAAUAAUGAAUCAAUUGUUGUCGCUGUAAUUGUCUUGAUAUAGAAUUAAAUCUAUUUUCAUCAAAAAUAACAUCUCUUGAUUCAAUAACAGUAUUAAUUGAAAUUGAAUCCUUUGGUUCAAUUACCAUGAACCUAUAUGCCUUGCUAUUAUGUGCAUAACCUAUAAAUAUGCAUUCAAUUCCUCUUUCACCUAAUAUUUUACAUUUAAGUGUUAGAAUUUUGACAAUAGCUCUACAACCCCAAACCUUCAAAUAAUUAAGGUUUGGUUUUCUUUUCUUCUAUUGUUCAUAGGGGGUUAUUUUACUUUCCUUAUUAGGAACUUUAUUCAAUAUAUGACAAGCUGUUAGAACAACUUCUCCCCAAAAACCUUGUCCAAGACCUGAAUACGAUAACAUUGAAUUUACUAUUUCAGUCAAGACUCUAUUUUUCCUUUCAGCUACACCAUUUUGUUGUGUGUGUAAGGGGCUAAAACUUGAUGGAAAAUUCCAGUAGAUUCAAAAUAACUUGGAUUAUAGUAUUCUCCACCUCUAUUCGAUCUUAAGCACUUGAUAAAUGAUUCACACUGAAGUUCAACUUCAGAUUUAAACUUUAAAUUUAUCAAGCACUUUAUCUUUUGAAUGUAAUAAAUAUACAUAACAAUAUCUAGAACAAUCAUCAAUAAAAGUAACAAAAUAUUUCUUUCCACCUAAUGUAGGAGUAUUAUGCAUGUCACAUAAAUCACUAUGUAUCAAAUCAAGCAAUUUUGUUUUCCUUGUAACCUUAGGGAAAGAGUUUCUUGUAAUUUUAGUCAACGUACAUGUAUUGCAUUUUUCAAUAUUAUUAUUAAAAACAAUAAUUAAAUCUAACUUAUACAUGUCAUUCAAUUUUCUAUAAUUCAAAUGACCUAAUCUAUAAUGUCACAAACAAAAAGAUUCAACCAUAUUAGCAGAAAUAGAAUUUUUAAUCUUAUUAAUAAUAUUGAGUUUGAACAUACUCUCAUACAUAUACCCUUUCCCCACAAAAAUUCCUCCUUUAGAUAAAAUAAACUUAUCUGCCUCAAAAACAAGUUUGAAACCAGACUUAUUGAACAAACUUCUAGACACUAAAUUCUGCCUAACUUCUGGUACAUAAUAUACAUCAUUUAAGGAUAAACCCUUUCCAGAAGUGAAUUGUAGUUCAACAGACCCUUUGCCUUUGAUUGUUGCGGUGGAAGAAUUUCCCAUGUACAAGACAUUGUCAUUUUCACGUUGUGUGAAAUUUAUGAACAUGCUUUUUGUCUUUGCACACAUGUUUGGUUGCUCCAGUAUCAAUCCACCAUGUAUUAUCAUCUUGUGCCAUAUUAACUUCAGAUAUCAUUGCAACAAACUUUUCCUUAUUAUCAGCCUUAGAAGAUGAUUUCUUCUUUAAAAAUCGGCAUUCAUUCUUGAAAUGUCCCGACUUUUCACAAUGAUAGCAUAAGCCCUUUUGUUUCUUUUUGAACUUAGGUGCUUUAUCAGUCUGUUUGAACUUUCUCUUGAAUGGUUUAGUAGUCUAUACUUCCUCCGUAACAUGCACUUUGGCAUUUUCAAAAUUUAGGUUCUAAUCUUAUUUUCGAUAUUCUUCUUCAAUACGAAGAUGAUUUACCAAAGCCUCAAGAGAUAUUUCCUCUUUCUUAUGUUUUAGACUUCUUUUAAAGUCUUCCCAAGAUGGAGGAAGUUUGUCUAUUAUGGAGGAUACAACAAUCAUUUCAUCCAUUUUCAUAUCAUAUUGCUCGAAUUGAUUCAACAUCUUUUCAAUAUCACGAAAUUGUUCCAUAACAGAACUACCAUCAACCAUUUGAUAAUUAUUGAAACGACUGACAAGAAAUUUCUUACUUGUAACAUCUUCGGUCAUGUAUCUUGUCUCCAAUUUGUCCCAUAAUUCCUUAGCGGUGACCUCAUUUUGGCAGGUGUCAAACAAAACAUCAGAUAAAUCAAUAUGUGGCCCAUGCACAUGUAAUCACAUUGUCUCAUUUUUGUCUUUCUCGGGUUGCAGUAACAUAUUCAUUAUCAUUCUCUUCAGGUCUUGGAGUAUCCAAAACAUAAGCAAUCUUCAAAGUUGAUAAUAAGAAAUGAAUCUUUUUUUGCCAUCAUCGAAAAUUGCCACCAUCAAAUUGAUCAAGUUUGACAAAGUUGGAAGCCAACUCCCUUAGUGUUCCACUUUCAUGUGUUGUGGUAGUCAUCGUGAAGAAUAUAACCUUAAAAUUGUUAGUACAAAUCUCCAGUGAAGAAAAUCUCGAACACACGAACGAAACUCUAACAGAAAAAGAAGAAAUAGGACAAGGCUCCAAGGCGCGUAUCAAGUCGCUAUCUUUAAGGUUAUAUUCGCCCCCACCUAUUUUCGGUGUGCAAAUGAGUUCCAAGCAAAUUAAACUCGAGGAUACAAUGAAGCCAAUGACUAUUUGCGUUUUGCACUGACGAGAAUAACCCACUACACACUGAGCAAUGAAUGACAAGAAACUCAAUUUCUAUAAAGAAUUUCUACAGUAAUACUUUAUAAAAUAAGUUAAUAAUAUUAGAAAAUGAAGGAAAAAAAGAAAGAAUAUUAGAAUUUGUUGGUGUGUUUUCCAAAUGAAAUCCCAUUCCCAUUUAUAAGAAUUUUUAUGUCUCUUCAUAUAGACAUCUUUCAUCAAUAGGUGUCUUUCUGAAUAAUAAUGUCUUUAAAAUAAACACAUCAUUAUCCAUUAAAUAUUAUAACUAUUCAAAUAAUAUUAUUUAAAUAGUUAUAAUUCUUUUUCAAAAAAAAUAUAACUUUUGAUUAAUUACACCCAUUCAUUUAUAGUUAUUGGAACACUAUAAAUAUUUGAAAAUGUUCCAACAGUGGAGUGAGGUGAGCUCAGGAAAACAAUUACCAUAACCUCUUUAUAUCCAUUGUCCAAAAAAAAAUACAUCUCACCUUUCUCCUUAUGUACUAUGUAAAAGAAAAAUGCUCUUCAGUUAGAGUAGAUCGGUUCGAAAUCCAUGGAGUAAUUUAGAUUUUGCCAUCCCUAAUUUUAAGGUGAAUGUACUUGAGAGGUUCCUCCAUUUUAGGGACCUGAUCAAAGUAGUCCUUCUACUAUUAUAUGGAUCAAUUUAGUACUUGUAAUAUUAAAAAUAAUCAACUAAGGUCAAAUUGGAAUAGAAUUAAUAUUUACUGUAUAGUUAAUACUAUGGAUUGUUUUGUUUGGAAUUGACUUACAAUUGAAACAAAUAAUUUUCAUGAUAUUUUUUAUAACAUAAAUGUUAAAUAUGUUACAAUUUGAACUUAUUUAAUUCUUUUUAAUAAUAUAAGGAUUAAAUUAAUAAUGGAAGAACUAAUUUAAUCAAAAUCCUAUAAUACAAACAUCUCCCAGAUGGUUUAACUUUAAUUUGAACAUAAAUACAAUUUGAGAUGUGUAAUAGUUGAAAGGUUGUUUACGCAACAACAAUUGGAUUGAGGUUUAGGUUUAUUUUGGUUUUUGGUUUUAUUAAAGAGAUAAAAGGCCAAUGCCAUGGUUCUUCUUUUGGAUUAAAGGCUUUUCUAUUGUUUUAGGUUAUUUAGGCCCACGAUUGAUUGUUGCAAAAUACAUGAAAGGUUGUAUAAAUUUACUCUUAAAUCUUCUAAGGAGAUUGAUUAUAAGCCAUGUUUAUGAUUAGUGUCUUCAGAGUAUUAAUAGCGUAUAAUUAUUAUAAUCCUUAAGAUAAUAAUUACAACUUUUUGUAAAUAUUAAAGAAAAUUAUUAUUUUUAGACGUGUUUGGAAAAUUUUUUCUUUCUCAACGAAAAAUAAUAAAAUUUUGGUAGUCAUAAUCUCUAAUUACUUCGAUAAUUCCUACCAUUGAUCUCAACCUAUAGUAUUCACUUACACUCUAUUGAAUGGAACUCAUUAAUUAUAAUGAUUAAUCAAACAUACAAUACACAUAUAAUUGUAAAUUAUUUCAUUCAAAUUUAAUUAGUAAGUGGUUUUCUAAAUUUUUUACAAUACUUAAAAAUUUGUGAAAACAUUGAUUUCAUUUUAACUAGUAUAUGAAUUAAUCUUUUCUUCCGGUAAAUGACUCAUUCCUUUCUACCCCUGCAUUGAUUAAAUACAUAAUUUAUGACAAAUGAUAAAAUUAUAAAUAAACAAAAUAAUCAAUUGAGAAAAUUUUCAUGAAAUCAUUUAUAAAAUGUGCCAUCCGCUAAAUAACCAUAAUUCAAGGUUAAUUUUUGGGAGGUAACUGAUAACUAGGUUUGUCCAAAGGUCUACUUCCCUGUCUAAGUUCGAAAGACUGUCCAUACCUAAUAGUAAAAAAACAGAAUAAGAGAAGCCUAAAUAUUGGUUUGGGUAAACAAAAAUACACCAGACUGAGAUUGUCAAGCCUAGUGCAAUCCAAUUCAAACCGAUCCAGAUAUUAAAAAGAAAAAAAUUAAGUGCAAUCCAAUUCGAGAAAAAAAAUUACAUUUUUAUUUUAUAUAUAAUAAUUGUAAGUAACAUUAUAUUUUCAACUUCUUUUUGUUUAUAAAAUUUUCCCUUGGAGCUUUUUCUGCAUCAAGGCGUUUUUUCAACAUUGCAAAAAGUUCCAAUCCUUAUAAUACCAUAUAUGUUUUUCUUCGCGGGUUAUUGAAAUAACUAAGAUAGGUGGUGUCGAUACUUUAUUAUUAAGACAGUUGCCAGGAUGAAUGAGAAGUUUUAAGAAGUUGUUUUGGUGUAUGCAAUUUAGGGUUUACAGUUUGUCUAAGACUUCUUGCUUUGUUGGAUCAGUUUCUUGACUCCUUUUCACAAUCUUAUUUAUCAUUCUUUUCCCAACAUAAAUUCCAAGGGUGAGGUUGAUUGAAUCAAUGGAGAGACUACAAGUCAAGUUUGACAAUGUUAUUCCAAUGCUAUUAAAGAGUGCUUUUGAAAAAAGAGAGCAUAAAACCUUAAGGGUUCAAGCGAAAUGGAAACGAAGAGAAAAUAAAGGCUCGUCCUCCCUUUCACUAAGUUCUUAAUUACUCGAAACUACAUAGAAAAUGGGACGAAGUAUGUCGCCUCACCUUUAUAUAUAUGUUUGCUUUGGUUGGUACAUUAUCUUUUUGGAAUGUUUAUAUUUUGGAUGCUAUGGAUGAUUUGCUUUUGGAUGUUUAUAUUCUUGAAUGUUUCAUAUCUUAUUGCUGUGAUUUCUUUUAUUUCUUUUUUGCAUUUUUACUGAGCUUUGAUUUUCAAUCAUUCUCUCCUGUAUAUUUCACCUAUUUUUUUUUAUCAAUCAUUUUCAUAUACCAAAAAGGGAAGAGAUCUAGCAAAAUUUGUAAAUUUACUUGAAAGUAAUCGCAAAACAUAAAUUCUAAAUUAAACAAGAACAUUGCUAAUUAGUAUUAACCUUUUUUUUAAUAUUGAUUUUAAAGCCUUUAUAUUGAUGGAUUUUUGUCAAAAUAAUGUCUUCAUAUAGUGCUUAAAAAAGGGGAGUUUAACUUGAAAAUAAAAUUUGAUUUAGGGGAGUUUUGCAAAGCAAUUUUCUUUUAAAAAAGUUUUCUUAUAUAAAAAAUGGGUAGGUUGUUAGCUUUGAUUUUCAACUAUUUUGAUAUAACAAACUUAAUUAUAAAAUUCCUUAACCAAUUUUCAUAAAUUAUUUCAGUCUUAUUCAAAUAUAAUUUCAAGUGUUAUAAACUCAAAAAUAAAGUUUUUAAAUAACUAAAACUUUCUACAAAAUUUUUUGAUAACCCCCUAAGACCUUUAGAAUGUUUUUAAACCACAAUUUUGAAUGUUCUUAGCCUUGUCUCGAGACACAAGCAUGUUUGUCUCAAAACAUACUAACAUCGAAGCUAAAAUUGUUUCAAGGGAACCUUGUAUCAAGACAAAAGUCAUUCUGUCUCAAGACCAACCAACAUCAAAGCUAAAGUAAGCUAUAGGGGAACCCUAUUUCGAGACAAAAGCAUUAUUGUCUCGAUACAACAAAACUCAAAGCUAAGGUUUGCUUCAAGGGAGCCUUGUCUCGAGACAAUCAAAAAAUUGUCUCAAGACAUAUAGCAAAUUGUCUCGAGACCAAGUCAUUGUGUCUCGAGACCUUAGGCUCCAACGUUCAUAUUUUUGUUCUUCUUUUCUUAAGACAAGGGGCUUAUGUCUCGAGACAUAUUGCUCCAGGCGACAUUAAAUGCGCGAAAAAAAUGCUCCCAACAGCUUCAAACAUUCAUAAUUCAAUGAGAAGGUAUAAAUAUCAUUCAAGUACACUCAUAUGAAGACAAGAAACAAGUCCACAAAGAUCAACAUUUUAAUUCCAAUCAUUUGUCAUUGUUAUUCUCAUUUUCUCUUGUACACACUUGUGAGUUUAUUUGUGAUUCAUUUUUUCAAGUGGUGUAUUAUUGUGUGAGAGUGCUCUAUUAUUACAUAUAACCUUUUAUAGGUGAUAAUCCUUUCCAAACUUUAUUUCUCAUUUUUGUGAUGAUUACUUAAAGGGAAGUGACCCCAUCUUGCCUUGUGAAAGGAUAGAGAUUUUAAAUGUUAAACAUUGUCUUUAAAAGGUUCAAAUCUAGUGAAUUUGGGAAAUAUUUAGUUGUGGUAAGCUAAGGUAGUGGAGGUAGGCAAUUGGGGUCAAACUACUAUAAAUUCUUGAGUCUCCAUUGUUUUUCAUAAUUACUUCAAAAUUUUUUAAACACCAAUUCACCCCUCUUGGUGAUUAUUGAUAUUAACAACAUGAGAAGGCUUUAAGCCUUCACUUAGAACCAUCCCCAACCAUUAGUUCUUCUCCCACUCAUUAUUAUACUUUGAAGUAUAUUUUAGGAAAUCUUUUAAUUACGAUUUUUAUUAGUUUGUAAAAUUUUUAGUAUUGGUGAAGUUAUCAUCUGGUGUUGGUGCCCAAGGAAGUAGGUAAUUUGCUAAACCUUGUAAAUUUGGUGUGUUCUCUCCUUAUUUAUUAAUUUUUGCAUUUAUUGGUUUUUCAAUCACAUUUUAAUAUUCAAUAGUUAUUUUUUGGGUUUAUUCGUUGUGCUUGGAUAGUUUCAAUUUGGUAUUGGUGUUCCCAAUUAGAUUUCAGUGUUCAAUAUUCAAGGUACAGUUGUGUGGGAUAUUACUUUGUGUUCUCACCAAUUGGUAGUAAAACUCAGUGAAAAAAUGUUAAUUUUCUUAGUGUGCUUUGUAGUUGUGACAUUGUAUGAUCUUCCAUAUCAUAAAAUAAAUUUUCACUAUUGGAGAUUAUUUGUGAUUGUUCAGUUACUGGAUAUAAGUGUAGUUGUGUGAAAGUGAAUUUCUAAGAAAAGCUCUAGCUAGGAAAAACUUGGUUUUUAAUAGCGUCUUUAUGACCCAUCUCUUUUUCUUAGGAACUAUCGCGUGUGAAUAUAAUAUCCGAAUGUGUAAGUGUACACGUCGAAUCAAGUAAUAAAGCAGUAAGUAAGACCAUCUCCUCAAGGAUCAGAUAGGUUUAAUUCGGUUAAGCUAUUACUAUAAACUAUAUGAAUCAGGCUGUGGUAAAAUAGAAUAACAAUUGUAGAGGAAUAAUCACAUAUGUAAUAUUAAAAUCAAAUAUCUAACUUAAAAUGAUGUGGCAAAGAUACGGAGACAAAGUUGAGAGGAUCUACGUUGUUGAAUGGGAAGGUUGGGAUUACUAAGAUUCCUUCCUCAUAACACAAUAAUGCCACGGGAAAAUCUUAACCAAUUUAUUAUUCAGAUUAAAUAUAAAGUAGUCUACUUCUUUCGAGAGUUAGACUUCAAGCUACCCUAUCUAAGGCUUUGCAUGUCUACAAGCCUUAAGAAGGAUACCCAGCACUGUUUCUUCCUUUCUCUGUACAGAGCACAUCGCUAUGUCUAGAGUGCUGAGUAUUCUAUCGAAUAAUUGCUUGUAUCAUUCGAUCACAAUCCAACUCAUCAAACCUUUUCAGAAUUAAAUCACGUUUAUGGGCAUGCCAUAAAUUCAUCUAUGUCUAGAGACUACAUACAUACAUUUUAAAAUAGCGCAAAUUGAAUGAAACGGUAAAUCUAAUCAGGAUAAUCCCUUGUUUAUUAAAAGAACUAAAGAUUCAUCCAGUAAUCCCAACUCAAUGAGAUUGGCUCAUGAGUUGGAAAUUAAAAUCCAAAAUGAAAGUAUUAUUCAACAACAUAUUUCCAUAGUUAAAAUUAACAGAAAAAUUAAGAUAAUGAAGAAAGAACUUCAGGAAGCUUUCGCCAAUCUAGCUUUUAACUCUAGUGCUACAAUAUCUUGCAAAUCCCAGGGUUGAAUGCUUCUCCUUCUUCCUUGUGUUCUUGCUCUAUUCCUUAGCUGCUACCCACUUUUCUUGCGUCUCUGGAUCUCCCACGAGAAACUGUGUAAGCGGAAAAGUCACCUCCUUCCUCUCUUUCUCUUUCUUCUAUUUGUAGGGUAGGUCCCCCUUUCAGCACACACUCUUUUUUCCCUCUUUUUCAGGUGGAUAUUUCUGGUACAAGUAUAAUUGGUUGAGAGUGGCAUGGAUUGACUACUGAGUCAUCAUCUUCCUAGAAUUGUCAUGGCAUUUGUGUUGGCAAUCUAUCCAACCUUUUGCCAAGACAAAACUUCACUCUUCACUUUUCCUUCUUUCUGCACUUGCUAUAAACAACACGUAAUUACUUUCCUUCCACAAGUAAAAGUAACAUCUAGUGACAUUGAAAGCAAAAUCCAAGCUUCAUAAUGCAGUGUUAUAAAAAAACCUAAUAUAAUCUCCUAAAAUGCAACUAAAUUUACUCAAGUACAAACAAUUAACCAAGUCUAGAGGCCUGAAUUAUAACUUUUCAAGAGUUAUCACACCCCCAAACCUGAGUUAUUACUUGUCCUCAAGCAAAAUAUGUAUGAAUGCAUGAUUGAAUGAAUGGAUUGCCACAAUAAGAUAAUUACCUUUUGUAAUGUCAGACUAUGUAGAGCAUAUUUUACACUUUAGUUCUCAGCAAUCUUCUGUGUCCAAAAAUUUGCUCCUGUUUUAUAAGCUUGUUUAGCAAAAAAAAAGUGCAAAAAAUGUUGCCCUAAAAAUAAAAACUUCUAAUUACUCAUGCAAUUUCAACUAUAACAAGCACCUCCUAAUGUACUUAGGUGUAAUUAUUAUCCAAGCUUAGUUUCCUUUUAACAAUCUGGCCUUGCAUAAUUCAAUUACAAGUAUUUUUACUAGAGGAUUCAUCUUGUCACAUGAUUUUCUUUAUUUGACAAUCUCAGUGGAGCAUGCAUUAAAUUGCCAGAUAUUCCAUCAUGUCGCAAUUUGAAUACUCACUCAUGAAGUUAAGGCUUUUAACUUAGAAGAUGGAUGGGGCAAACAACUACCCCUUAGCUACUCAACCUAGCACUAUAGUGGAGUGUCCCUAAACUGCUUCUUUUAUUGAAUCAUUCUUACUUAAACUUACUUUUCUAAUCAACAACACGAUGGAGCAAACAAAGUGAUGUUGACUUACUAGGCAAUUCUAAGCAUCGGAGUAUUUGAUGAUAUCAUUAUUUUAAAAUAUUAUAUAUUUUUUAAUCAUUGAGUAUUGUCGUUGCACCGAACUUAGCCUCAAGAAUUUUUAAGUCUAUCAAAACAAACCUACUAUAGACUAAUUAUAAUUGAAAUGAAUGCAUUCUACUUUUUGGGGUCAACUUUCAAGCAUCUAUCCUAAGCUAAACUAACCUAAUUCACUGUCACAAUUUUCUAGGAAUGUCAAAGAAUUAAAUUCCUCAUUGAACAUCAUAGGAAAAAUACACUCAUUAUAGCCUAACAAUUCUUUGGCAUUUAUGUGUCAUGGCAAAAUAAAUGUCAAAGACAAAAUGAACAACUAUUCAAAUGCAACAUAUAUGCACAACACACCCUCAAACCUAAGGGAUGCAUUGUCCUCAAUGCAUGAACAGACAAAAAUUAUGAAUGCACAAACAUAUAUAUGGAUAGAAAAUGAUAAGACAAAAAUGAUGAAUGCAUGCUAAAAUGAAAUGAAAAACAAAUAACAUAAAAAAUGAAUGAAGCUUUGAGUGAAAUUGUUGUUACUUUAAUUUGGACAAGUGGAUUUUCAUGUAGCAUGCUUGUAGCACUGCUUCCUUUUCAACAUGUUGAUUGCCACCUCAUCUUUCUUAUCAUCUAAUUUUGUGAGAUCAUCAAUCAGCUUAUUGAUUUCAUGAUCUUGCUGUGUCAUUGGCGUAGUCAAUUGAGGUAGGACAGGUGCAGUAGCAUCCGGAGGUGGUGCAGAAGUUGUGUUUGCUUCUUCUCUAUCACAGUUAGUCUCAAUACUCACUGAUUCAGUCUUCUCCUCAUCUUCCUGUCUAUUUGUAUAUCUGUUUUAAUGGAAAUCUAUACUUAACAUCAUUUUAUUUGUUUGCCUUGUAAUUUAUUAAACUAACACAUCUAACUUUAGAAAUUGUGAUUUAAUUGUAUAUCACUCUAAAAUUAUAUGUUUAUAUGUAUUAUCUUGUUAAUACAUUUCUGCCUAAUUUCUUGUAUCAAGCUAGAUCGAGUACAUUUUCUUUUCUUUCAAAGUUUAUUUCCAGUUUUUAGUUUAGUUUGAUUUUUGUUUUUAUUUUGUUUCACCUAGUUUGCUUGAGGACAAGCAAAGACUUAAGUGUGGGGGUAUUUGACCUAUCGUCAAAUGUAGUAGUAAAUUUUGUCCAUUUCUACACUUAUGGAGCUUGUUUUCUACCCAAUUUAGUAUUUAGUAUUGUAAUUUAGGUAUUUAGAGUUAGUAUUAAAAGUUAAUAAAAAUAAUUGUUUUUAACACAAUUUGUGAAUGUUGUGACCUAUUAGGCCGAUAGGGUCUUAGGUAGUGCUAAUUUGUCUAAUUGAGUGUGAAGGAUGAUGAUUUUUGGGCCCAAUUGAUGUAGGAGUGAGGGACGAGUGGUGCACAAGCAUUUCGAGUCAUUCAACCAUAAAACAAACCAAAGACAAUGUGGAUCACAUGUAUUGUCGCACCAUACAAGGCCUAUGGCGUGACAUAAGUCGACAUGCUACCCAAGUUUGUCAGGGUUAUUUAUACGAAGACCUAGGACAUGCCGGAGACCUAAUUAGGGCUGCCAACACUUCUAUAAAUAAGACCUUAGGGGUUUGAUGUAACUAAUUCGUCUUAAACGCCUUCAAAACCCUCGUAGAUUAGGAGUAGAAUUAAACUUAGUUUUCUUUCAACUUUUCAUAAACUUUUUGUUCUUUCCUCUUGGGAUCGAUUUUGAUCCAAGAGUUCUUUUAUAAUGUCAAAGUAUUUCAUUUAUUUUCUUUUGCAAAUGAUGAUAUUCAUUAUUUCGAUCGAGAGAUUUACUACUCCGUUCUUCAAUCGACAUCAAAUCCAAGAUUAUCCGAAUCUCUUUUAUCUUUUCAUUUAAUUGUGUUCUUUACAUGUUUUAUUCAAUUGAGAUUAAGAUUAUGAAUAAUAUGAGUUGCUAAAUCCCUUAUGGGAGAUUAACAAGUGGAUGGGGAACAAGUGGAUGGGGAACAAGUGGAUGGGGACAUGGUUAACAGAGGAUUUAGGGUUUUUUAAGGGAUUAGUUGUAUAGAUUACACGUCCCUAAAACCUAGGCUUAACAACCUUAGGAAGUAAUCGUAGGUUAGAUGAGAUCAAGAGAUAAAUCUAACCGAGUAAAUCCUAGUUUAUCUUGGUUGAAAAAAUGAGGUUGGGAGAUAAGCAAGUAUCAACCAAUUGAUUGACUAGUUAGAGGCUGGGAGCUAAUAAUUGGUUAAUCGGUGACUAAUCCACCCUAAAACCCUAAUUUGAAGUUAAUUACAAACCUUGAAAUGGGUUAAUCUUCCUGAUUAGUUUUAUCGAUUUAAGUUGUUUGUUUAUUUUCUCGUUUAUUUAUUUAUGUUAUUUAAUUUCUCUUAUUAAUCCUUUUUAUGAUUUGUCACAAUAUAGGAUUUAAUUAUUACUAUUUAGACUUAUUAUUGUAAAAAGGUUUUCUAUAGAUUUAUUUUAUCCUCCCUUAGGUACGAUUCUCAAAAUACUUCAUGUGUUCCAUUGUACGCAUAUACUAUAUUACAAUUUGACCUUUAUACUUGCAAACACGUUCAUUCUAAUUUUAUAUGUUUUUGGUGUGCUAUUUUUACUAUAAACGAUAACAUAUUUAUAGGCGGUCACCUAAGGACUUCAAUUAAAAUAUAUCCAUAAUUUAUUUCUAAAUCGGGGUGUUACACUAGCCACUUGUUGGAAUAAAGAGCCUGAGUAGCCUCAAAGUAAUUUGAAAGGCUGGCUGAAUCAAUGCUCUCCGCAACACUUAGAGCAUACGCCACAAGGUUUCCGUUGCAGAACAUCUGAGGUGGUUUGAUCUCUCCUCUCUCCCUAUCAUGAGCUAACUUAUAAUUUUGUAGUUGAGUUAUAGGAGAUGCUUAUAAAUCUGAUGGCAUCUCUAACUAAUCUAGGGUGGCUUUAAUAGCCUCUUUUUGUCUAAAAACCCUUCAGAUUGACUUAAGUGCGAAGUUCGUCAUGAAGUUAUGACGUCUUGUGUUUCCUUAUCAUGACAUUGUAACAGUUUUGGCUCCGGCUUGCUUAAAACACUCUUUUUAUGUCGACAGGAGUAGGCGACUCUUUUCUUGGGUGAAUCAUUGUAGUUUCAUCAAGUGCCACAUCUCUACUAAUAAUAGUUUUCUUAGUUUCUAGGCACCAUAACUUUAAACCUUUUCCUCCGGUAGUAAAACCAAUAAAUAUACAUCUCAUAGCCCUAGCUUCAAGCUUUCUCUCACUAACACGUGCAUAAGUAAGACAAUUGAAUACUCUAAGGUUGGAGUAAUUUAAAGGGUUACCUGACCAUAUCUCAUCAAGAACCUUUUCAUCCAAUGCUCAAUCUGGUGAUCGGUUCACCAAAUAGCUCACCAGGUUGACAGCUUCUGCCUAAAACUCCUUUCCUAAGCCUGCAUUAAAAAGUCUGCAUCCAGCUCUCUCAAUUAAAGUUUUGUUCAUCCUUUCUGCAACACCAUUUUGCUAUAGGUACCAACAACUGUGCAAUGCCGCUCAAUUCCUUCCCGUUUGUAGUAUUCAUUAAAUCCAAUCGAACAGAAAUCGAGACCAUUAUUAGCCCUUAAUUGCUUUACAGACUUCACAAUCUAUUUUUCUAGUAAGUACUUCCACUAUUUAAAAAACUCGAAAACUUUAUUCUUGUGCUUCAAGAAAUAAACCCAAACCUUCCUAGAGUGGUCAUCAAUAAAAGUUAGGAGAUAUCUAUUGCCUCUUUUAAAGGUGACUUGAGCUGGACCCAUAAAUUGAAAUUAAUGUAAUCAAGGGUGUCUUUCAUCCUGUGGACUACAGAAUCAAAGUUGACUCGUGUCUGCUUCCCACAAAUGCAAUGCUCAUAGAAAUCUAACUUUCCAACUUCUACACCCGGGAGAAGUCCUCUCUUAGUCAAAACGAUCAUUUCUUUCUUACUUAUAUGACUAAGUCGUAUGUGUCACAGCAGAGUUGGCUCUGAAUCCAUUAUAGAUAGAAUUUGUCGCGAUGUUACGAGGCUCCUCUUCACAACGUGGCGACUAUUUCAACUCCAACUCCGUAAUUGCUACUACACCAGUCACUGUUGGACCCUACAGAAUAUAUAGACUGUUUGUUUUUUAACCUUUCAUCAAAAUGAGAGCUCCACGAGAUACCUUAAUGUCAUUUGAAUCAAUGACAAUUCUACAAUUAUUCGAGUCUAAAAUACCCAGGCUUAGACUGUUGAAUCCUUAACUUUGAUUUUGACCUAGACCUGCUCUAACCUGAAUCCUUAGACUGUUGUCUGCCUCUUACAACCAAAACUGAGGCUUGUCCAUCUGACUUAUAUUCAAACCUAAUUCAUUGUCAUUCAUUGUCGAGUUUAUCUUUGCUCAACAAGUUUCCCUUUAUGUCUUCGAACGAUAGUUUAUCUCUUCCAUAAAUUAGGGUUUUCCUGAAAGUUUUAUAUAAAGGAGGCAAAGAGUACAGCAAUAGCAUAGCUUGAUCUUCAUCAUUUAUAUUAGCCUCGACAUUCUUCAGGUCAUUAGAGUGAGUAAUGAAUUCACUGAUGUGAGCCCUAAUAGACGCACCGUCGACCAUAGGGAACAUGUAUAUGUGUUGUUUUAACACCAACUGAUUAGUCAAAGACUUUGUCAUGUAAAGGGAUUCAAGCUUCCUCUAUAAGGCUAAUAUCGUUUUCACCAUAAGCACAUCCUGCAACACAUUAUUCGUGAGGCAUAACUAAAUUGUAGAUAUAGUCUUCUCAUCAAGCUCAUCCCAUUUUGAAUGAUCCAAAUCCGUGGGCUUUUGCCCUGUAAUGACUUUCUUUAGGCCUUUUUGAACCAAUAUUGUAGUCAUCCGAACUUGCCAUAAACUGGAAUUUGUAAUCCUAUCGAACUUCUUGAUAUCGAAUCUCAUUUUCAUCAUCUUUGAAUGGGUUGAUUACAUAAUCCUAACAAAGCUCUGAUACCUAUUUGUUAGGGAUCGACCCGUAUAAAUAACGAGAAAGAAAUAAUAGAGAAAAUUGGGUACACAAAUUUAUAUGGAAAACUCCUCAAAUCAAUAGGAUAAAAAACCACGGACAAAGGAGACUUCACUAAUGAGAAAAAAAAACAAAGAGUACAAGAUGGAGAAAUUCAAAACAAACCCUAACCCCGAAUACAAAGCUCUCUAGCUAAAACACAAAAUUCCCUUAAAGCUCUCUCAAAGCCUUUUCUUAAUGUUGUUCAAUGUUGCUCUUCCUUAGGGUUACUAAAGGCGCUUUUUAUAGGCUAGGAUUAGAGGGCUAAUUAGACUAAAAUAUCACUAGAGUAAUUAGAGUUUAACUAAGAGAAGAAACUCAUUUAUGUAGGGAACACAUCGUGUUGUGGUGACGUCAUAUGUCUCCUUGUCGUGACAUCUCAUGUCGCGUCGUCAGGAUGUCAUCUCUAUUUUUUCUUUGCUUCGAACGUCUUCGUAUUGUUACAAUGACUCUAUUUUUCUCGUUGCAACAAUGUGUGUAAAUGCGAGACACCCUCCAUAAUUUGAGUGCCAGUAAGAAACACUUUCUCGAGCAAAAAGAGGAUAAGCUUCAAUUCAACUUAUCGAUAGCUUACCUAGCAUGGAGGAAAGGUUAUCAUGGUUAUGGGACUGCCUACUCUAUUGUCAAUCUAAAUGGCGAAACUCUUUUCUAUAAAAGCACAUGGCAUGAGAAUUGGGAUCUAACCUCUGGCAAGCUACAAACUAUACGUGAAGUCUUGACUAAGUGUGGGUUUGGAUGGGCAGUGCGGUAUGGUACGAUACGAUGCGUUUAGCUUACUUUUUGACUCAUGCUACAGUAUCUAAUCUCACUGCUACUGCUGUUUUUACACUAACCGCAGAUAAAAGCACCUCCCAUCCAAACCCACUUUAAGGUGGCAUCAUUAGGAACAUGCAUUUAUAUCAUCAUGCUUCAAGAUAAAAAGAUAAAGAAGUUCAGACCAAAGCAAAUUCGUGGCACUGGAAAUAUAAUCCUUGGACUGAUGACAUUCGAAUCCUACGCUUUCAUCAAGUCAAUAAUAUGGAACAAUUGAGGAAACAAGCAGUCCAUCCAAAUCAACAAAUGGGCAAAAGUUGCAGCUGAUUGGAAGGUUUCACAUAUUAUUGAUCCACCAAUAUUUAUAUUAUUAGUUGCUUACUUCUUGUUUUAAUAAAAAAUAAUUAAAUAGUAACUUGGGUCCAUGUAAUUUUAUUACUUAAACAAUAAUUUGGGUCCAUCCAUAUUAUUAGGUGAGUUUGAAUAAAUGAUAUAUUUACUUACAUUAGUGUAAAAAAGUGGUGAUAAUAAAAUUAAAUACUAUGGACCAUCUCAAAAUUUCCUAUCGGAAUUAGAUUCUAUACAAACUGUACCGAUUGGGUUUGAUUCGCUGCCCCACCAAGAAAAAUGUCCACAUUGAUGAGCAAAGCUGGUUUGAAGAUUUUAAUAAUGAUGAAAAAAACAAAAGGGUGCUUUCAAGCAAUGUUAGUUGUGGGUCACUGUGUUAACUUUUUCCUUUGUAGAUUCCGUGUCAAACUAGGUUUUAUCUUAAUUGGAAGAAAUUAAAAUAUUUGGAUGCUUAUACAUAACCAUGCAUAUGUGGGUGGAUGAUUUUCUUUUGGGACAAAAACACAAUAAAAUAGGAUUGCAAGUUGACUCUGUAACAAAGAUUGAAACCUUUUUUCUAUAAAUUGUACAAACAAUCUUAACAAAAUCACAUUUUCUAGAAAAAAAUCUAUCUGUAUUUCUUUUUAAUUAACCUUUUCAUUUUUUAUUUUUUUAAUACUUAAAUUUAUAAUUUUUUCAAAUCACUUUAAAAUAGAUAGAAAUUCUUUUUUUCUAAUUUUUUUGACUUGACAUGGAUGACACAUCAAUAUUUAAUUAUUUUUAAAAUUUUUAAAAAUUCAAAAAUAUUAUAAAAAUAUUUUUAAAAAUUAAAAUUAUUAAAAAAUAUAAAAAAAUUAAAAUUUUAAAAAUUAAUUAAAUGUUGAUAUAUUAUCUAUGUGGCAAUCUACGGUAUGCAAGUUCAAAAACAAAAAAAAAACAAAAAAAUAAAAAAAAAUUAAUGAAUAAUUAAAAUAAUUUUUUAUAAAGUUGGAGAGAAAAAAUCAUUAUGCUUUUUUUUUUUUAUGGUGAGAAAUAUUUCUAACAAUUUUGUAAUUAUAAUUUAUCAUCAAUUUAGUAGCUUUUCAUGCAAUUGACCAAAUUAUAUUUAUAAGAAUUUUAUUUCAUUGUACAAAUAAAUUUUAAACGUGGAAGUGAAUGAACACCAUGUUUCUAUCACAUAAACAUGGAAUAAAAAGAAUGGAGUCAGUCCAUCAAUUGAACUGAUUAUACAGAAUUUAAUGAUUUGUUUUGAUCCGAAAAGUAUAUAUAAAUCCAAAGAGGGUCAAAUCGAUAAAAAAAAAACAAUUUAAAAAAUAAAAAACAUGGAUUGAAAUCUUAAAACCUGACCUUUUUAUGUAAUUAAUAAGAUCUUAACCUUUAACCUUUUAUUUUAUAUUUCUGUUUAUUAUUAAUCAUUUUUAUUAAAUAUUUUACAUUCAAUAAUUAUUAAAAUAUUAAAAGGAGAAGAUUAAUUUACAAUUUAAAUCACCAAACUUAAUUCCUAUUUUUAUUUAAAUCAUAAACCUUAAAUUUAAUCAAAUUACAUCAUUUAGAUUUUAUUAUUAAUAAAUUGAGUCACUUGUACUAACACUAUCAAAAUUAUUUAACGAAAGGCUGAAUCAAUAUAUAUAUUUGGCUUAAGCUUUUAAAUUUUUUCAAAAAAAAGCAAUUAAGUCCUUAUUUUUUUUGCACUCAAUUAAGUACUUGAACUUUUAAAAUGUAUCAAAAAGGCCCUCAAAUCUUUUCAAAAAAACAAUUAAGCCCUUUUUUUCAUUCUAUUGGGUUUGAACUAUCAAAAUGUAUCAAAAAAGUCCUUUGACCAUUAAAGUUAACUGUCUCUAAUUUUUCAGUUAAAGUCACCCCAUGUCACAACUGCGACAUGACAUGUGACAAAAAAAUAUAAAAACUAAAAUUCAAUAAAAUUUAUAAAAAUAUUAAAUUUUAAUAAAACAUUUAAAAUUUAUUAAAAAUAGAAAAAAAUUAUAAAAAUCGUAAAAAAUAUAAAAAUUGUAAAAUUUAGAAAAAUCAUUAAAAAAUAUAAAAUGCAUCAAAAAGGUUCUUUAACCAUUAACUUUAACCGUUGAUUGUUAAAGUUAUCGACCCCCUAAUUUUUUCAGUUAAACUCAUCAUAUUUUGCAACACAGGGUUACAUGUGGUGAAAAAUGGAAAAAAAUAAAAAUCAAUAAAAGUUAGAUAAAAAUUAUAAAAUAUUUCUUUUGGUACGAUAGUUUUUAUAAUUUUUUAAGAAUUUUAUAUUUCCUUACAUUUUUUUAUAAUUUUCUUACGACUUGAUAAAAUUUUAUAAUUUUUUUCUAUAUGUCUUUAUAUUUUAUAAUCUUUUACAAUUUUUAUAAAGUUCUACAAUAUUUUUAUGAUUUUUAUAAUUUUUUUUUCUAAUUUUUAUUUUUAUUAAAAUUUAAUAAUUUUUAGGUUAUGAGAUGUGGUGGCUUUAGCUGAAAAAAAUUAGGAGCGGUUAACUUUAACGAUCAAUUGUUAAAGUUAAUGGUAAAAGGGCCUCUUUAAUACAUUUUGGCAGUUCAAGUACCCAAUUGAUUGCAAAAAAGAAAUAUCAGGGGCUUAAUUGCUUUUUUGAAAAAGUUUGAGGAACUUUUUGAUGCAUUUUGAAAGUUCAAAUACCCAAUUGAGUGGAAAAAAAGCAGGGUAAUUACUUUUUUUGAAAAAGUUUAAAGGUUUUUAUACCAAGCCUAUAUUUUUAUACACCAUCUUAUUGGAUUUUUUGGCAAAUAUCUUACUGCAUUUUAAGUAAUAAAGUAGAUUUUUUAGGGUUUUCUCAAUUUUUGGAUUUGGGUAAACUAAUAAGAAAAAUUAAUCUUUUUAUUUCGCAUUUGAUGUGAGAUUGAUAGAUUUGUCAAUUGAUUUUUUUUUUCAUUUUUUUAAAAAUUGGAGUCUAUGGCAGACAUAUUACUUGAGCCAUUGGAACUCUAAUUGCUUCAUCCUACAACCCUUACACCUUGACAGGUUUGCUUACGGAAGCCAUAUUGGACUCUUUAUCAACUCAAAUUAUGGUUUAUAUGGCUUUAGUAGAUCUAAUUGCUGCUGAUUUUCCGAGUAAGAGGAUGAGCUGCAAUUUCAGACUUCAAGUAAUAACUUACUCUAUUCUUUUACUAGGAGCUAGUUUGAUGGCUUCCCUUAAUCUAGGCCUAAAUUUUAUAUUAGAUUAGACUAUUCAUUACUUCAUCUUUUAGCAAUUAUAGUUCUUUUUAAAUUUCUUCAAGAAAAGGAAAUGAUGCUAACAUAGCCAAGAUGGCACUUUUUUCACUUAUUGUAAAAUAUUCAAAUCCAAAUUUAUAAAUAUUGAAAUCAACACCCAAAGUGAGGAAAUUGGUGGUUCAAUGAUAAUUGAUAUGCAGUUCAAAGAGUUUGCUUGUAGAUGAAACAUAUGUCUAUAUAAUAUGUCCUCAAAUUGCUUUACAAGGAAGGCUAGUGAGCUUCGUUCUAGUUACGAGUCUUUCCCUCAUUCUUGUGGAGUGUGCCUCGCAUUUUGGACAAAACAUGGUUGACGUCAGGACGAGGAAAAGCCAACGUCCCAGCAACAUGACACCAAUGACACGACAUCGACGUUACAACGAAGAGAUUCGCUACGUCCCAAUGAAGCGAUGAAGGGCAUCUCGACGAGGUAGCAUGCCACGUCACGACGUGACGAAAUGUUCCCUACUCAACCCGGAUUAUUCUCCUAGUUAAAAUUUGUUAUAUUUUCCCAGUCUAACUCUGAUUAUUCUAGAGAUGUUUUAGUCAUAUUUGUACACGAAAUUCAGCCUAUAAAUAGACCUCCUAGCAACCCUAGAUUGUUCAGAAUAACAACAACAAAAUUAAGAGAGAGUUUGUGAGAAUUUCAUGGAAUUUUUGUAUUUCGGGUUCAAAGUUUAUUUUUUUUUCUAUUUUGUACUCCCCUUUCGAUUUUUGUCAAAUUUAGUGAAAUUUUCUUUGUUCGUGGUUUUUUAUCCUCUUCGGAGUAGUUUUUCUACGUAAAUAUUUGUGUCUAAUUUUCUCGAUUUUCGUUCGUGUUUGUUGCAUAAUUUGGGUUCAACCCAAUAAACUAGUAUCAGAGCCUAUUUGAAGGGGUCAUUGUAUCCCUGUUUUGAUAUGCCAAUCAGCAAGGCCUUUUCUUUGAGAAUGACAAGAUGUAGUCACAUAUGGGUUUUUGUGAGGGUUUUCGUGGUAACUAUAGAAAUAAUUUUGUUCUUGAAUUACAACUUUGUAUUCGGGUUUUGGGUAUUGUACAUUUAGUACAUUUAGGUUUAUUUUCUCCAUAUUGUACUCUUGUUUGUUUACUCAUUUUGUGAAAAGUCGAAGCUUCCUUUGCCCGUUGUUUUUAUCAUAUUCGGAGGGGAUUUUCCAUGUAAAUAUUUGUGUGUUUAAUCUUCUCAAUUUUACUUGUUCGUUGAUUAUACAAGUCGAUCCCUAACAGUUCUCAAUCCUUACAUCUGCAUCAUUUAUAGAAAAGAAAAAAAGAAAAAGAAACACCUUUUUUGCCAAUUCUACAUGAGCAAGACAAAGUAAAAAAGAACAUUAUGAUGUUUAAGUGUGGUAAUGAAUGAACCAAAUAAUAAAGGUCUCUUCUUUUUUUCAAUAUAUUUGUUGUUUAAGAUUAACUUCUUUUUGUUUGUUUAAGGUUGAUUUCGUUGGUAUACACAAAUGGCAUGUGCCUUUUAAAUACGUAAGUCAAAUCAAAUUAUGCUAGAGUGUCUAUAGAUAUAGGAAAUAACAUUUUCAUACUGGUAAGGGAGUAUCACUACAAUGGCUAUUUUUGGCAUCCCCAAGAAAGGACUAAAGCUUAAUAUUAUGGUGACAGCGAUGGACAUGAAAGUAUUCCACCUCUAGAUUUUGUUUCUAUUAUGGUUGUAAGGUAUAAAGAUAAAACAAUACGUUCAAAAUUCUCUUGGGGCAUUCCUAAUGUAGAUGGAUUGCCUAAUAGUUGGUUUCACAAUAGCCUAUUUUGGAUUGAUCUUCUAAAUUAUGUUGCCAAAGCAAAAACUAUAGCGAAGUUCUAGAGUCAUGUCAUUUGUACUCAAAAUUAUAGAACGAGUUAAAAAAGGAUAAGAUGAAGAAUUAAAAUAGGUUUGUAACACCCUCACCCGACUCGAUUGUCGAAUCCAGGUAUAGAGUGUCACAAAUGGACCCAAUUUGAACUAAGGACCACAUUACAAACUUAAUAAAUCUAACUAAGACUUUAUUAAAUAAUAUAUGCAUCUUAUAUUCAAAUCCUUAAUAUUCAAACAAAAUAUUACUAUACCAAAAUUUUGGACUUCUCAGUAACUACUUAGCUACAACAUCAUUGACCUCGAGGCGAAGCCUCUUAUAAUACCCCUUUCUUAUGUGCACGAAACCACUACGACAUCAAAACCUUGGAUUAAUUCAGAUUGACUUAGUCCCUUCGCGAGUUUCUUGGCACGCAAAUCCUGCAACACAAGUCAAACCCUUGUAAGUUCGGAUGAACUUAGUGAGUUUCUACAUUACACGAAAAUAGACCAUAUCUUACAGGGGUUUAAUUAAAUAGAAAUAAAUGUAAAUAAACUCCCUACUUGUUUGCAAAAUUUCUCUCAAACCCAUUAUAGUAGACUUUAUCUUAUUCCCAAUCCUAUCUACUGGCGAAUAGAUCAUUGUGCGAUUACCUUCCGGCCAUCUUAUCAGCCUUAAUCAGCCUUGACAGUUCCUUUGAAUGUCUCGCCAUCUCCAAGGAUUCCAUCCUUUCUUUUACGUAUAUUCUUUCUUUCACCUAUCCCCAAAUGUGGAUUUCUUUUUCCUACCAUCCUGUACUAUUAAUGCGGCCCUUCGGCCUACCUCCUAAAGUCCCUCAGUAGGUAUUCCAAAUCUGGUUAGUCCAUAACAGACUCUUUUCCUUAUCAUAAUUCCGUAUGACUUGUUCACAUUCCUUUUGUUGGCAUGACUAUAGGGGUCCCGCGCCACUUUAGUAGACUAAAUCUCACUUGCUCUAAAUAAUGGUUAGAUUACUUCUUCGUAAUCCGCUUUCAUCACAUCACUUUACCCUUAAGCGUAGCACGCCCUUCUGUUACAAUCCAUUGUGGCCUACAGUACUCAAUUAACUGUCACUGAGUGGCCAUCUAAGUUCACGAUUACUUUUUCAUACUGUAUCCCCACAUAACUAGCCUUUUUGGCUGAUGUUUCCUCAAUAGUUUCCUAUUUAAGAGAAAUAGUCUUGACAUACAUGACUGUUACCUAGCACCCAUUAUUGGUACCUUCCUCUCACUAAUUUCAUUGAAUGCCUUUUGAUGGUUCUUAAUGGCACACUCACAUCUGCAACCCUAGGGUACAUCUUCUCUUGCUUGACUUUACUCUCAUCAUUAGCACAUUAUUUCCCUUGUUUAAAUUUUCCUGGGUUAUUACCCAUAUGCCCUUAUGACACUCACGACUACUAUUCUAAUAGUCUUUUCUCAUUUUCCUUAUGUUUCCCAUUCAUUGGCAGAUUCCUUCGACCCACUAGUUAACUAUUUCAUGUCCAUACUUUUAAUUUCCUUCUAACCUUUUUUAUUUGUUUGCUAAAAUUUCUACGAUUACUACCUUGACUAUCUACCUGUGUUUACUGUCCUAGUGGACUACCCCGUGUUUACUGUCCCGGUUACUUAUGCUGUCAUAACCGAGCUACGGUCUUACACAAUAUACCUUACGUUUAAUGUCUUGACGGAUUCCAUUGGUUGCCAAAACCUAACUAUGGUCUUACACUUUGUGGUCUCCAUGUUUAUUGUCUCGGCGGACUAUCUCAUGUUUAAUGUCCCGGCAAAUUGUACUAGUUACCUUAACCUAGCUAAUGUCCCGAAUGACCUUACCGCCAUCGUGGUGUUGCCCCAUAAAGCUUGUUAACCGCCGUCACGGUGUUACUUUAUUGAACCUAUUAGCCAUCAACAUCAUCAUAUCUUGUAUACACAUUGAUGCUAGAAAACAUAAGUGUCCCCCUUCCUCCCCCACCGGUAAUGCCCGAAGCUUCGUACAUCAUGGGUGCACUUAAUGACACUGUAUGGCAAUAUCUAACAGAGUCAUCCAUUUUCCUAUCUGAACUUUGUCUAAUCCUAGUGAAUAUCCCCUUCCAUAAUUUCCAUAUGCAAUAUACACAUUUUAUAAAUAAAACAUUAUGGGAUCAUGCAUAUCGAACUAAAAUGGUGGAUACUUAUAGACCCAUAUAAGUUUUCAACAUAUUGAACUAAAAUUACAAUUCGACCAUGUAAUAUUACUUAAUAUUAGUUAAACAUAAGACAAUAUUAAUUUUCAUUUUGCUUUGCAUGCAAAAAUCAUUAAGGAUAAUAUACAAAGAUAUUAAUGAUAUUGAUAGAUAUUUUAUUAAACCUAUUUCUUUGAAAAAUUACAAGCACAUAUAGACAAAAAUCACUACACUAAGGGCACUAGAUCCCAACAAUUACAUCAUUAGUUUUGGUCAUGAAGUUAAUCCACUAAAAAUACUGUGAUUGAUCUCCCAAUUAUAUACCAUUAUGAAGGCAACUUAGAUUUAUGCUUUUGUCCAAUGACCUUGUCAUUAGUGUGUUACCCCUUAUAGGAUAUCUUUAAUCCUUUGGGUUAAAUGUGUUAACUCAUUAUGGUCCUAUUUUAUAUCAUGAUCACCAUAAAAAAUAGUAAUAACAAUCAUUCGUCCUUAAUGAAUGACCCGUGGUCACGUUCCUUUUUCAUAAUUCAUGUAAUGCCAAUGAGAGGAUAUCAUUUACUCUGUAAUCGACCUAUGAAUUUCACUAUUGUAAAUGAAUCCAUGCCAUACAUAAGUCAUAUACCCAACAUAUUAACUUUCAGCUCCAAUACCAAUGGAACAUGGACUUUCAAUAUGUCAAAGUAUAUGAGUUAGAUAAACAUGGUCAGUCACUUAUAUAGGAUUGGGGUAAGUCAUGCCAUAAACGUCACAAGUGAAUAAAAUCAUAAAUGGAUCCAGAAUAAAUUCUACUUGAAUUUUGAAGAUGAAGCACGUGAUUCUCACACUUGGGUGAAGGCAAUGAACAUUACUAGACUGAGCAAACCCUAAGGCUUAUUUCAAUGUGGUAGGUGAAUGGAGCUGGACAAAUAGAACGUUAACUUUUGUAUAUGGGAAAGGUAAAAAUCUCAUCCAAAAUCUCGAUCCCUUUGAUAAAUCAGUUAUUACUAGUAUUUUUGGGAGGUUUUCCAGAUAUUUUUCAUCUUAAAAGUUUUAACUACGACUGUGAAAAGAAGGCUUGAGGUCUUAAGUAGUCCAGCUCUCAAGGUUAGCCCAAAGAAAGCUAAGUUGGUUACUUUGAAAUUGAGGACCACCUAGGUAAUGGGACCAUCAUGAAUCCGAAGGAGCAAACUAUGGGAGACUUCUACGAGUUGAGUUGCGGCAUAUUUUGAAUAGAACUUGAUGAACCAUUAGGAAAAUGGUACCAUUAUUAGAGGGCUGGUAAAAUUGAUCCCUUGUUAAGAUUCAUAAGCGACUCAGUCUAAAGCACAAAAAGAAAAGUUGAGGCUGAAAAAGGUGUAGCAUGCUAUCCAACUCUUUUGACUGAAUGCUGAAGAUAAGAUUGUUGUCACCUAUCCGAAUAUAAUGUUGGGAUCAACUUUGAGGCAGGAGGAUGAUAACAAAAGGGGUGUUGGAUAACAUCUCAAAGGAAGUUUAAGUUUGUUGUGGGAUUUAAUGUUCGGACUUUAGUUGACUCAACAUCUUGUGUUUGUGCUUGAUGUAUGCCUUCCUUAUCUUUUGCUUGGUCUUAUUAGUUACUGAAAUUAAGGACUAGAAGUAUAGUUUAGAUCAUAUGCAUUUAUAUGACUCAUUCAUAUAAAUGACUGAAACCUGGAUGUAAGGUGAUGAUCCGUUUCUCAAAUUUAUUUCUAGAAAGAUUAAUUAAUAUGUAAAUGGGGAUGUUUUCCGUGCUUCUUGACCAAGUUGGCAUUGGUGUGUAUUUGUCGUAUGGACUUUCUUCUAUUUUGCAAUGAAAUGACUUCUUGUAAGCAUAAAAAACAAUAAAAAAACAAGUCCCACAAAAAUUAUAAAAAAGCUAAGCAACUUGAGUAUUAAAAUAGAAUUCUUUUUUAAAAAAAAUAUCAAAUCUUAAACGGGAUAUUUUCAUUUCAGCAAACGAAAGGAUAACGCGUGUCAAAAAUUCAUUAUCCUAUCAAUAAUAUUGGAACCACCGUUAUAAUCCGUUGUUUCCUCUUUGAAGGCUUCACUCCACAGAGCUCUUUGCUUUAUCCCCUUCCAACGAUGGACCGCUUCUCUCUUCUCUUCCUCCUCCUUUCCUCCGUCGUUGCUUCGGCCGUCGUCUUCGACGUUAAUAGCGACGGCGAUCCUCUCAUCCGUCAAGUUGUUUCCGAUGGUGGUGUCGAGGAGGACUCCGAUGACCAUCUCCUUAACGCGGAGCACCACUUCACGCUGUUCAAAUCCAAGUAUGGGAAAACCUACGCAUCCCAGGAGGAGCACGAUUACCGACUGGGAGUCUUCAAGGCUAACCUGCGUCGGGCCAAGCGUCAUCAGCUCCUGGACCCCAGUGC
rnacentral:lncRNA from 1 species